AUUUCUUAAACUCUUGCAUGUUGCGAAAUGAACAUGAAACCCACUCAAGGUUCCUCAAUUUGCCCACUUCUUCCCCUCUUAAAUGUAACUCUCCCAGCAAGCAUUGCAGAUGAGAAAUCUUCACUAAUAUUCCUAUUGGUAGCUCCUUUAGAUGCCUUGACCUUAGACGAAAAUAUCUAAGGUUUUGUAACAUUUCUAUACCAUGAGGAAGCUCUUCAAUUCCUGUACCAUAAAGGUCCAACUUUCUCAGUGCUCUGAGCUCUGCUAAUGAAGGCACAUAUUUUAACCUGCCACAACUAGCAAGUAUCAAUGCAUCGAGGUUUUUCAAGUUAGAGAUGGAAUUGGGUAGAUCCUCCAAGUAAUAAUUACUAUAAAGAUUUAGAACUUUUAGUCUAGGCAUGUGCUUAAAGAAAGAUUCAGGAAUACUUUUUAAGCCACAUUGUUGCAAAAUCAAAGUUGACAAAUGAGGACACUCAGGUGAUAUGUGAGGAGGGAUUUCUAUUAAUUUUGAAUUUUGCAUCAAAGAAACCUUCUCAACACUCACUGUCCAUUCUUGCUCACUUGGGAAUUCUUUCAAUUGCAUACCUGCUUUUACCAUGAACUGAUGACCUUUAAUAUACAACGCCAUGUCCCUCAAAACAUCAUGCAUCUUAACUCCUUCUUUGCGACUCCUAGUUGUAGCCCUCUCUAGCAAGCAAUUAUUUUCAAGCUUAUUUAAAAUGCUAUGGCCUCUGUCAUGCAUUUCUUGUCUAGUCCUUAAGCCAUCAAGGAGUCCUUCAUCUAUCCAAUUUUCAAUUAAUUCAACUUCUCCAAUCACAAAAUCUUCAGAAUACAAGGAGCAAUAUAAGAAACAAUUUUGAAUUUUUGGAUCUUUCAAAUAGUCAUAACUGAACUUCAAACGCUCAAAUAUUUCAACAUCCGAUCCUUUCACACUUUUCACACGCUCUUUUAAUUCCAUUAAUGCAUUUCUCCACUCACAAAUAUCAUUUACCCCCUUCAUGCUUCCAGCUAUUGUGACAAUGCUAAGUGGUAAACCACCACAUUGCUCAACAAUUUUGUUGACAAUGUCUUUUAAAUUUUGAUCUUGUACAACACCAUGCCCCACACGAUCUAAGAAUAAGUUCAUGGACUCUGUCUUUGAAAGCGGUUGCACUUUGACCACCUUACAAUCCAUAGAUUGGCAGACCUCAAUCAAUCUACUAGUGAGUACAACUUUCCUCCCCAUACCUAUUGUUGGUUCAGGGAUACCCACAUCCAAUAGAGAAAACCGUUUCCAAACAUCGUCUAAGAUCAACACAUAUCUUUUUCCCUCCAAAAUAUCUUUUAAUGUUGAUGCUCUUUGCAGUUCAUCAUAUUUUGGAAGAGACUCUUUCAAAGAAUCUGCAAUAUCUUUUUGCAAUCUAAAAAUAUUCAAUUCUUUUGAUACAGUGAUCCAUAUCACUUGAUCAAACUUCUCACUUUCCUUUAACAAUCGAUUGUUGAUAUGCUUCAUGAUAGUAGUUUUCCCUAUACCACCCAUUCCACAUACUCCAAUCAUUCCAACCUUAUUACCCAUCAAAUACUCCCAAAUUUGUUCUUUUACAUCGAUUUCACCUUCUAGAUUUGGUGUUGGUAACAUCACCCCGGUGGUUGGAGGCCCAUCAACUGCCACAUUGUUAGGGAAACUACCGUUUUGGUGAAUUUCCUUUACCUCUUCAAUCAUUCGGCAAACAAAUUUUCCAAGACGACCACGUAAGAAGUAUGAAACAACAUGGAACUUGGUUUCAAUCUCUUCCAUUUCAGUGUUAACCUUUUCUACAGCUUUAAACCAGUACUCCACUUCUUCCCUCACCACUUUUCUGUGACGAAGCUCCUCUUCCUUUCUUGAUAUGAGGUCUCUCUUUCGGAUGUUUAAAACAUUCACUUUUUCUCGAAGAUCAUUCAUAUGUUCUUCAAGUUUUCGGUGAUGGUCAAUGUAUGUACAGGUUGGACCACCAAAGCACUUUAUCACUUCAAAAAUUUGCCCUAUAAGCUCCAUAUAAGCUAUUCCCUAGAGAUUAAACCAAGAUAUAUUAGAUCUCCAUAUGACAUAAGCUACUCCCUCCCUAAACUACAAUUCUAUAUUUUUCAUAUAAUACAGAAUAUGUUAGAAAAAAAUCUUACUAAUUAAAAUUUUUUUACCAAUUCUUCUUAAGAAAAAACAUAAUAUUUUUGAAAACAUUAUAAAAAACAAGAAGUUUUUGUUUCCGUCACUUAAUUACUAUAAUUAUUUUCCACCUAAUUAAGAGAAAAGAAGCAUGACAUAGACCAAUGAACAAAAAUAAUUAUGUGAAAGGAAAGAUGAUGAACCUAUGUUAUGAAUCUAAAACAUGAAUCCAAAUCAAUAUUAAACAAUUUAAUUUAUCUAGUCAAGUGAGGCAGAUGAGCUGGUACUUCUUCUAUUCUUAGAGUUUCUUGAUUAAGUUUGUAAAAGCAGAUCUCCUUGCAAAAAAUUGUCAAGAAAAUAGCAUCAAGCAGAUCUCCUUCCAAAAUAUCCUCUAUGAGAAGAAAAUGAGUAAUGAAGCACAUGAAUUAUUGAAAAGUGGGCAAGAUUAAUAUUUAUGUAAGAAACUAAAAUAAAUGCCCAAUUUGUGUCUUAAUAUUUAUAUAAAACUUAUGAUAAGAUGAAUUUGUGUUAUAAUUUAAGAUUUCGAUUAAUUAAUGUUAUCAAAGAUAAAACUAAAUCAUAAGUAUAGACAACCUACUUAAUUCCGUGAGGCAGGGAAGUGAUACUUCUAUCUUCAGAAGGCCCUUAAUAAAUUUGAGAAACAAGCCCAAUCAAGAAAAAUAGCAAUAACAAAUAGAUUAUCUCCUUGCGAAAAAGAAAAUCCUGAUCCUCCGAGAGAAGAGAAUUAUUGAAUUAUGAAGCAGAAAAGAAUUAAAGUCGGCAACUCAAUGCAAAGUUGAAUUAUUUUCAACCUAAUUAGGCAAAAAAGGAAAAAGAAUAGAAGCAUAAAAUAAAGAGAAAGACCCAAAAGAAAGUUUUAUGGAGUUUGUUGAAAGAUGAAUUUAUGGCAGAAGGUAAGAUUCAGAGAUGGUACCAAAGAUGAAAAAUAUAAGCGUAGAUACUUCAGCUUGUUGAUAUCACUAAGCAGAUCUCCUUGCAAAUUCCUGUGUAAUGAGAAGAGAAGGAAUUAUGAAGCAAAUAAGUCAAUGCAAGUCAUGACAUUGGUUUCGGGGUCACUUCCCUUAAAGCUGCUUUGAAAUAAAGAAAAUAUAAAUAAAAUAAAAGAUGAUGAAGUGAGCCUGAACACUCGUUCAUUUUUCUUAAAGAAACAAUAAUCUAAGUUAGGACAAAAAGGAAGCAUCCGAGAAGGAUCCUGCGUAAAUUUUUACCAUUAAAUUACUUUGUGAAAAGACAAAGUUAGGUGCGAAUUGAGCACAAGGAAAGAUGAAGCAAUUAAAAAUUCAUCCAUUGUGUUAGUGGCGAAAUAAAAUAAUGAAAAGUUAGAGAAAUAGGGAGUCAUGAUUAGUGACUUGUGGGGUAGUAAUUGGAUUCCCCUUCUAGGUGUUUUGUGUUAUGCCAUAAACUUAUUACAUUAAUCUGAAUUUAUAAUUUAUAAAGAGAAUUAUUUCAACCUGAAAACUGAAAAAUAAGUAUCCCAAUCUGCAAUAGAAUGAUUUGACUAUGCACAGAAUGUGCAUAAGCUAUGAUCUACUGAAUGUAGUCCAUUUUAUAAGGGGACAAGAAACGAAUUGCCCUGUUCUUUGAUGGAGCUUCAGCAUCAUGCUUCAACCAGAAGUUUUCUACUGAGUUAACCGGAUUGUUAGUUCCUUGAUUGAUUUUCUAGUUAAUGAGCCAUAUCAGAUUACUUAGACUUGAGAAAUAGAAUUUCAACUUCUAAGGUUCUAAAUGUGACUAGUUCACAAAAUAUAUAGAAAUAUAAGGUACAAGAAGAUGAUGAUGAAGAUCAUUAAGUAAAGAUAUUGAUGAAGUGUGACGGUCAUUUCAUUGUUGAAGAUGAUUCAUGGCCGCCCCGUGGAACUGCUUCAAAAUAGUUCUUUUCAGAUAGUCCUAAAUAAUUGCUGCUGCACACACAACAGACAAAUGUGGAUGCAGCUUAUCACUUCUGAUAGAGCAGAGGACUCCCCUAAGAAUAUGGAUCAUCUGCUAGUUCAAAUUGUCUUGACUCUUUCCACAAUCUCCAUUCCUGAUACAUAUCAAAACCAUUUUGUCAUUUAUUAGUUUGAAAACUUAAUUAGUUAAAUGAUAAUACAUUGCACAACACUUACAUGUCCAACAAGGCUCAACAUUGGUUGAUAAAACCUUCUAUUCUUCUCUCCACAUAUUAUCUCCAGCAAUAGCCAAAUAUAGUACCCAUCAACAAGUGGGUUAAUUUAUCCUUACCCCAUCAACCUUAAGUUAAGCUUUUGUUUUGGUCUGAUAGUUUAGGUGCACAAUCGAUCAAGAAGUGGAAUUUUUUCUGUCAAUAGCAAAAAUUAAAAUCAGAAACUGUUUUUUGACCAAGAAAAGAAGCAAAUAAUUGAAAUUUUGUAGUUUUAAGAAGGAAGCAAGACGAUUACCAGACGAGAAGCUGUGUUCAGCCAAAUGAAAAGGCAAUAGCAUUUCCUUAGCAUUAGGAUCAUCCCAUUCCAGUGAUUCCCACCAUUCUUCUGGAUAUAAAACGAUUUGCUCAACAGGAGGAGUGGGAGGAGAUGGUAGUCCAUUUUCAAGCAGGGGAAGAGAUAAGGGGAUCCUUUUUAACUUCGGACAUUCUAUUACCUCAAGAUAUUGACGAGAGUUUGUUGGAAUCAUAAGUCCAAAAACCACAAAUGCUUUUCUGCUCUGGUAAUUUCAACAAGGAAAGUUUCCUUAAUUUGGGAAGAAUAAAUGUUAUGUGGUAAUUGCCCUUCCUGCCUCAAUUUCCUCCAACUUUUGAAAACCCUACAGCAGCUUAAUUGAACACAACUUCUUCAUACUCGAACAGUUUCUCAAGCAAAACCUUUUGAGAGAAGAGAAAAUGGGAGGUGGUGUUGGGAUGUGAGAUGGAGAUACACAUAGAUUCAUGGUUUUCAUGAAUAAGAUAAAAAUGUUAUGAUCACCAUUUAAACAUAAUAUAUAUAUUAUAUAUAAUAUAUAUAUAUAUUAGAGUAAUCACACUAAUCAUAUCAAAUUAAACUUAUACUCAUAAUUUGCGUGCAACAUCAAAUCACCAAAUCUUAUACAGAUAAUUUAAACUAUUAAUCUUGUUUAAUUAUAUAUGUAUUCAUCAUUUGAAGGGCUUUGUAAAUUUAUAAAGUAAACAACAAUAAGCAAUAAUUAUGUUUAUUUUCAAUAUCUUGGUAUUGAUACAUCACUUCCCAAAUAUGCUUUCCUUUUCUUUUUCAUACAUAGACAUUGUCUUGUUUGGAGAUUGUAGCUAGCUAGAUACCAUUAUUGCCAGUCCAAGAGGUGACACUUUGGAGAUUGAAUAGAAUUUAAUUUUCAGGUGUUUUGGUCUUGAGAUGAGUGUCAACAUUAAUUCCUUUGGAUCUCUUGAAUUAGCUUUUGUAAAUAAAAGAAGGUAUCCCUCCUCAAACAUGGAAAAUCCCCUUUCAAACCUAUAAUUUUAAAGAAAGAAAAUCCUAAUUUAAUAGAUUAGUUGCCAACUAGGGACAAGCUCCGUUGAUGUGACAUUAAUUUUGGUAUAUUCUAACACUUGUUGACUAGAUUCAAUUGGAUAGGAUUUUUAAUUUGGGUGAAAUUUACGGGUACUGAUUAAACAAUGGAAGUGACAUUGGAGGUUCUAAGUCCCUUUCACCUAAGAGAGAAAUGAGUUUGUUCAAUUGACACAGCUUUGGUACAAACAGAAAGUAAGCUAAUACCAUAUCCAUAUUUCUCAUGUGACUUGCAACAAAUUUAAGACUGAAGUAUGGCAAAAUAUUGGGUAUUUGUAUAAAUUACAAUACAGAUAAAGAAAAAAAAAAAAGAAAGAGACUAAAUAGAAAGGGGAAGUGGAAAGAUCCCCAAAAUCAAUUAGUUGCAAGUGGAAGGAGCAAAGCCCAACUUUGUUGGCAACAAGGUCAUGUUCCCACAGAUGAUUUUGUUGCAGAGUGUUGUCAAUAAUAUUUACUUCCAAGCUGUCUUUUGGUAAAUAGAAGCUGAUAAUGGUUAUCUGGAUCAAGCUCAAAUAUAGCUCCAUCUUCAAAAAUGAAUUGCAAAUCUUGACACUGAUGAGAAAAUCAAGCCUUUUUAUUGCUUUUAAUAAAAGCGUAUAAAAUUUGAAGGGUGCUCAGUUGGGGAAUUACUAGUUCCCAAGUAAUAGUUUUAACUGCUACUUUCUUGUACCAAAUUCCCAAGAAACGAUUCUUAGAGCUUCCAGGACAAAGAAACCAAGCUUAAGGAUUCCAUCCAUCACUAACAGACUGGGAGGAGGUGGAGAUAUCGAUUCCAUCAGCAAUACUUAAAAACAAUAUUAGCAAAAUGGUGUUGGUGAACAUGAAAGACAGAAUGUCUAUUUGUCUCAACUUUCAGAGCUUGUAAAACUUAUAGAAAAACUUUUCAGUUUGGCAGAUUUUAGAGAGCAAACAUAUUUAAACUGAUGGUCGUUGACUAGUAUGCAAGUCUUCCUUGAAAAGACCAAACUUUUCAGGUUGCACAGAAUUCUUAUUUCUGAUUUUUAUGAGGCUUCAGUGUAGUCAUCUUGUAUUGUCUCUGUGAAUUGUAUAUACAUAUUAUACCCCCAAGUGGGCACUUGCAGGGUGCUAAGCUCAAACUGGGACUAAACCACUGGUAUCAAAGCAUAAGGGACAUAAACAUACGGAUCGAUAGCCUAUAAUAAUGGCUUGGAGAUGAAAGAGCUUAAGUAUACAGUUUAUCAAUUAUCGAGCAUCUAGUACUGACAGAGUUAUUUCAUUUGUGGAAGAAGAUACAUGCUUGUCUGAUGAAGAAUCUUCUUCAAGUGGACUUUUCUUAGACAAAAUACCAGGUUGUUUGGGGUGUGGCAAUUCAGUUUCACUUCCCAACAUCAGAAUCACAAAUGACAUACGUGGCCUCUCCUCAGGGAUUUUGUCAUUUAUCAGUUAGAAAUGUUGAAAAUCUCAAGGAUUUUGUUAUAUUUGCAGACCAUUAUCUGUUAAAAUGAUAAAGAUAAAACGAGAGAGAAAAUAUAAUUGAACACAAAGUCUCCCUACAGUCUUUUCAUUCAACAAUAACACUUAUAAAUACAUUUACAGGAGAGAGAAGACAACAAUAAAAUAAAACAACACGUAAAGUAAAAUAACUGCACAAUAUCCAUAUCUUACAUAAUCACCUACUUUACAAUACAAACCCACUACCUAACAUAACAAUAACUGACUCAACAUGACAAUAAUUGUAAAAGAGAAAAUAAACUGAUAUUAACUAAUAAAUUAAAAAAUUGUUGAGAAUAACUGAAUCUGAUUCUUCAAGUCAAAUCUCAUUCUUCAACAAAACUUGAUUAGUUAAAUGAUAAUACAUUUCACAACACUUUUAUGUCCAACGAGGCUCAACACUUUUGUCUGGUUGAUAAAAGCUUCUAUUUUACCUUCCACAAAUUAUCUCCAGCAAUAAUAUACCAAAGCUAAAUACACUACCCAUCAAGAAGUGGGUUAAAUUAUCCUUAACCCAUCAACAUUAAGUUAAGCCUUUGUUUUGGUCUGAUAGUUUAGGUGCGCAAUCGAUCAAGAGGUAGAAUUUUUUCUGUCAAUAAUAAAAAUUAAAAUCAGAAACUAUUUUUUGACAAAAAACAGAAGCUAAUAAUUGAAAUUUUGUAGUUUUAAGAAGGAAGCAAGACGAUUACUAGACGAGAAGCUGUGUACAGCCAAAUGAAAAGGCAAAAGCAUUUCCCUAACAUUAGGAUCAUCCCAUUCCACUGAUUCCCACCAAGUAAUUGUUUGGCCCUUGAUCCAAUAUAGACUUGGUGUAUUCUACUGAGAUUUGUAAAUUUAUUUUCUUAAAUUGAAAGCACUGUUGUGAAGAUUUUUCCCUUUCGAAAUGAUUGGUUUUUCAAUGUCAGACAAAUUAAGAAUACACCAUACUUUAGAAAUGGAAACAUAUAUAAACUACUUAUUAAAUUACUACAACAUCAAGCAAAUUACUGUAAUGAACAAGUGAUAAUGAAGUCAAUAUAAUCCAAGAAGAUAGAUUGAAGGGAGUUCAGUUGGCUAAUUGAUGCAGAGAAUAUUUGGAGCAGACUGGGUUAAUCCUUGUCCAAAACUCCUUGAAAGCCUCUUCAUAGCAAUUUCCUGUGACCAUUUACUAAGAUAGAUUGAAAGACCGCCUGCAAAUAGGAGAGAAGAAAAUGUUGAUGUAACGACCCAAGUCCAAUCACCGGCCCAGCAACUUUUCGAACCUAAACCAAUCACUGGCCUAGCAACUUUUCGAACCUAAACCACAUGGCCCUUAAAAGCUUAAGCUUAAGUUACUAGUAGUGAUGGACUUGGAUUGUUAUAUAGGUAUUAACAAUCAUAUUCAUAUUAGACGUGAGAUUUGAGGUAUCACAAUCCGACCCAUUCAGAUCCUUGAUGUCAUCAUCAAGACCACACAUCACAUUCACGAGACCAAGAUCUCAUUAGAGCAAUGUGAAAGCUCACAUCGGACUAGCGCAAGCUCUUAUACCAUUUGUAAUGACCCAAGUCCAAUCAUUGGCCCAGCAGCUUUUCGGACCUAAACCACAUGUACCUCAAAAGUUGAAACUCAAGUUACUAGUAAUGAUGGACUUAGAUUGUUAUAUAAGUUUUAACAAUCAUAUUUAUAUCAGAUGUGGGAUGUGAGGUAUCACAAUGAACUUGAGUUUAAGUUUUUGAUGACCAUGUGGUUUAAGUCUAAAAAGCUGUUGGGCCAGUGAUUGGAUUUGAGUCAUUACAAAUGGUAUCAGAGCCUACGCCAGUCCGAUGUGAGUUUUCACAUUGCUCUUAUGAGAUCUUAUUCUCGUGGAUGUGAUGUAUGGCCUUGAUGAGAACAUCAAAGAUUUGAGUUGGUGGGAUUGUGAUAUCUCACAUCCCACAUCUGAUAUGAAUGUGAUUGUUAAAACCUAUAUAACAAUUCGAGUCUAUCACUACUAGUAACUUGAGCUUAACUUUUUAAGGACCAUGUGGUUUAGGUCCUAAAAGCUAUUGGGCCAAUGAUUGGACUUGGGUUGUUACAGUUGAUUAACAUCAACAAGUACAUCCCCUAGAUAAAUGAAUAAAAAUAAACACAGAAUGUGGAUAAAAAUAAACUGAGACUAUUUGCAGUUUUAAGAAAAAACGUUGAGGACUUUACCGAUGUGAACCGUCGAGCCACAUUUAAUGGAGUAGAUUUUCUCCAUCUCAUUCUACCAAAUAAAAACAAAGGGAGAAAAGACAUGCUUAGCAUCAAGGUGAUCCCAUUGCACUGAUUCCCACCAUUCACUCUGGCUUACAUUGAUUUCUUCUAGAAAAGGAAGAGGACAUGGUUGCCCAUUUUCAAAAAGGGCAAGACACAAAGGGAUCCUCUUUAGAUUUGGACAUUUCCAUAUUCGAAGAUUUCGGAGAGAAUCUGUAGGAAUCACAACUCCACCACUGUAAAUGCUUUUCAAUUUUGGUAAGUAGAUCAUCCAUAAUGAUUUUAAUUUAAGCAGAAUGAAUGUUGUUCUUUCUCCUUUACGAUUUUCUUCUUAUUCUGAUGCUAUUAUUUCCUCUAUUUCUUUAUAGUCUUCAACUUUAAUUUCCUGUAAGUUUUAGAGACCUUGCAACAACUCAAUUGGGAACAACUUCUUCAUCUUCCAACACAAAUCUAGAUGCAAUAAUUUAAGAGAAAAGAAGAUGGUAGGUGGGGUUAGAGGAGGAGAGGUAGAACCAAAUUCAAGCGCUACUCUUACUCUCACAUGUUCAUGCAAGUUCCACAAUGACUUAAGGAAUAUCUUCUUAAUGUCAUCAAGUGUGUUGCAAGGCGACAAUGACAAGUCAACCACACACGCCGUCCCUUUACACUCCUCAAUUUAACAUAUCUUCAAGUUAGUUGCCUUACGAAACAAAGGAAUAUUGCUUAAACAUUUGAAAUCAUUACACUUCCCAAUACGUAAAGUAUGAAGGCCAUUUGGGACUAGUGUAUCUUCUAUUUUCUCCAUCUCACAAUGCAUGAAUGUUAUCUGCUUUUCAAGUUUCUCUAAAUUUUGGACAGGUAGACUAUGUAAAACCUCAGAUGAUCCUACUUCAGGAUAAAGAUUUUUAGGCCAUUUACCUUGUAUAGACUUUGCAUAUCUUGAACUCUUACAAGUCACAAAAUGAACAUGAAAGAAUCUCAAGCUUCAUCAAUUUGCCUUCUUCUUCUCCCAUUAAAUGCGGCCCUACUAUUAAGCAUUGGAGAUGAGACAUCAUCAGCAAUAUUCCUACAGGCAGCUCUUUUAUAUUAGAUGACCAUAGACGGAGAUAUCUAAGGAUUUCUAACUUUUUUAUUCCAUGAGGAGCCUCUUCAAUUCCCAUAUACAAAAGGUCCAACUUUUUAAUGCUCUAAGCUUUGCCGAGGAAGGCACACAUUUUAAUAUGUAACAACAAAAAAGUAUCAAUGCAUUAAGAUUUUUCAAGUUACAGAUGGAAUUGGGUAGAUCUACAAUCUGAGUACGAGAAAGAUCUAAAACUUUUAGGUCAGACAUGUACUUAAAUAAAGAUUCUGGAAUCCUUCUUAAGCCACAGUUUUGCAAUAUCAAAGUUGACAAACGAGGACAUUCAGGUGAUAUGUGAGGAGGGAUUUCUAUUAAUUUUGAAUUGUCUAAUAUCAAGGAAACCUUCUCAACACUCAUUGUCCAUUCCUGCUUAAUUGGUAGUUCCUUUAAUUGCAUGUAUUGAUGACCACUACUUUUAACAUACAAUGCCACGUCUCUCAAAACAUCAUGCAUCUUAACUUCUUCCGUAUAAUCAGUUGUAGUCCUUUUUAACAAGCAAUUAUUUUCAAGCUUAUUUAAAAUGCUAUGGCCUUUGUCAUACAUUGCUUGUCUAGUCCCUAAGCUAUCAAGGAGUCCCUCAUCUAUCCAUUUUUCAAUUAAGUCUGUUUUUCUAAUUCUAAAAUCCUCAAGAUACAAGGAGCAAUAUAAGAAAUGAUUUUGGAUUUCUAGAUCUCCCAAAUGGUCAUAAUUGAACUUUAAACACUCAAAUUUUUCAAUGUUCGACCCUUUCACAAUUUUCACUUGCUCCUCUAAUUCAUUUAGUGCAUUCCUUCACUCACAAAUAUCAUCUACUUCUACCCCUUUUAGGCUACUAGCCAUUGUCACAAUGAAAAGUGGUAAACCGCCACAUUGCUCAACAAUUUUGUUGACAAUAUCUUUUAAAUUUUGAUCUUGUAUAACACUAUACCCCACACAAUCUAAGAAUAUAUUCAUGGACUCUUUUUUUGAAAGCGGUUGCACUUUGACCACCUCACAACCCAUAGAUUUAUAGACCUCAAUUGAUGUACUAGUGAAAACUACUUUCCUCCCCAUACUUAAUGUUGGUUUUGGGAUUUCCUCAUUUAGUAGAGAAAGUCAUUUCCAAACAUCGUCUAAGAUCAACACAUAUCUCUUUUUCUCUAAAAUAUCUUUUAAUGUUGCUACUCGUUGCAAGUCAUCUACUGGAAGAGAUUAUUUCAAAAAAUUUGUAAUAUCUUGUUGCAAUUUGAAAAUAUUCAAUUCUUUUCAUAUAGUGACCCAUAUCACUUGAUCAAAUCAAUUAUCCUUCAACAAUUGAUUAUUGAUAUGCUUCAUGAUUGUAGUUUUCCCUAUACCACCCAUUCCACAUACUCCAAUCAUUCCAACCUCUUCACCCAUCAGAUACUCUGAAAUUUGCUCUUUCAUAUUGAUUUCACCCUCUAGAUUUGGUGUUGCUAAUGUCAUCCCAGCAAUUGAAGGCCCAUCAACCGCCACACCAUCAGGGAAACAACCUUGUUGGUAAAUUUCCAUUACUCCUUCAAUCUUUCCGCAAAGAAAUUUUCCUAGAUGGCCGCAUAAUAAGUAUGAAACAGCACAGAACUUCUUUUCAAUCUCUUUCAUUUCAGUCUUUACCCUUUGUACCUCUUUAAACCAGUUCUCCACUUCUUUCUUCACCUCUUUUCUGUGACGAAGCUCCGCAUCCUUAAUGGAUUCAACAUCUUUCUUUCGAGAUUUCAAAGCAUCCACUUUCCUUCGAAGCUCAUUCAUAUGUUCUGCAGGUUUUCGAUGAUGAUCUAUGUAUCUAUAGGUUGGAUCCCAAAAAUACUUUAUCACUUCAUAAAUUAGCCCUAAAAAGUCCAUAUAAGCUACACCCUAUAAUUUAAUAAACCAACUUAUAUUACAUCUCUACAUGAUAUAAGCUACUCCCUGUACUAAAAUUCAAUAAAAUAAUAUGUAGCCUAUACGUUACAAAAAAAAUGUUACAAAAUAAUAAAUUUUUAAUUUCAAAAUUGGAAGACUAAAUUUACUAUAUGUGAUUUUUUUAUAUAUUUUACACAUUUAAUACGAAUUCAAAUGAGAUUAGGCAAGAAUUUGUAAUUGUUAGCCUAAGUGAACAUAGAAUGACCAUUUAAUGUUAAAUAUUCAAAUUCAAAAAUGGAUAUUGUCACCCAAAAAUGUAUUUGCUAGCAUAACUCAAAUAAAAGGAAAACUUUAUAAUAUUAAAAUUUGCAUUGAUUUCACUGUUUUCUCUACCAAUUGUUUCAAAUAGCGUUUAUUGCUAUUAAUUUUUUUGACCAUGACUCCUAAUUUGAUUUUUGUUUCAUACUUAUUACUUAUUUAAUUGUUCACAUUCAUAAUUCAGAGUUUACCUUAUAUGGUUACUUCAACUUUACCUCUUAAAAUAUGAGAUAUCUUGAAAUUAAUGCUAUAAAUUGCAAAUUUUUUCUACUUACUUGGUAUGUUUUUGUUAAAGAUUAUAUAUAGUUUCUUAGGCUAUUCUCCACUCAUAUUUAGUUUCUAUGUUUCCCUAAUCCAAAUUUCCAUCAUCAAAAGUUUGAUUUCUUCUUUUUGCAGACCUCUUUGAAUUAUUCAAUUUUGUCUAUAUAUGUAUUUUGACCUCAUUGAUUUAUAAUUAUUUAGUAGUUAUGUAUUUCAACCUCUUUAAUGAACUAUUCAAUUUCUUAAUUUAUUUUCUUUAGUCAAUUGUUUUACUGUAUUCAUAUGAGUAGAUUUUCAUCAGAAUCAUUUAAUCUUCUAAGACGUUAUUCAUUAACAUGGAUACUUCCAACUUAAUUUUUUUUUACAUUCUACUUUAUAUUUUAAAUUCUUAAAAAUUAUUAUAAAAUAAAAUUAUCACCUGUGCAUUGCAUGGGGAUAAAUCUAGUUUUUGAUAAUAAUAAACAUCAUCUUAACCAAUAAUAAUGAUAAUAAUAAAUAUCAAAGACCCAAGCAAAUAUUAAUCAUUUUGAAUUGAUAGUCCUAAAUAUUUUCAAUUGUGGAUUAAUAAAAUCUAAACAUGAGUAAGGAAUAUAUAUAUUACAUCUUUUUGAUAAUUAAAACAACAAAGCUUGUGACAACAACAAUAUAUCAUAAAAAGAUAUUUAAGAAAUGAUAGAAAGAAUAAAUUGAGAGAAUAGAAUGAUAUUUAGGGUCCGUUCGUUUUGCAGUAAAAUAUUUUCCGGAAAAUAUUUUCAGGACUUAUGCUUGUUUGGUAGAUGGAAAAUUAAUUUCAGAUGUAAAACAUUUUACGAGUUAAUAGGGUUAACCAUGGAAAAUGUCUUAUACGCUUGAAUGGCGUAAGACAUUUUUCAAAGAACAACAAAAACACUUUUAUGCUAAGUUUAUGAUUAUAAGUUUGAUGAAUAUUAAUAUUUAACUUAAAAUAUUAAAAAAAUAAAAAUAUUAAUAUUUAACUUUAAAAUAAUUACUUUAAAAUAUUAAUAUUUAAAUUAUACAAUACUAUUAAAAUUAAAAAAAAUAUUAUUGUAAUGAAACCAUUCAAUACAAUUAAAUUUUUUAUUUAUAAAUGGAAUAAAUCUUAUUAAUAAUUAUAAUAAAAAAUAUUUCAAUGAUCAUUAUUUGAUUAAUACACAUUUAUAAUAGUUUUAAAUCUUACUAAUAAUUAUAAUUAAAAAUAUUUCAAUGAUCGUCAUUUAAUGAAUACACAUUUAUAAGCAUAGAUUUAGGAUAUCUUACACAAUUGAUAAAUAUUUACAUUUUAUAGUUAUGAUAAAAAAGUGAUAAAAUGGAAAUUUUUUUGAAAAUUAGAGUUUAUUUUCAUCACAGAUAUGUGGUUAAAUGNGAAAUUUUUUUUUAAAUUAGAGUUUAUUUUCAUUACAGAUAUGUGGUUAAAUGCUUUGAGAAAUAUCAUUAUUGAUUUUGUCCAUUUUCAUCUUCAUUCUUAAUUUUGAUCCCAAAUUAGUGAAAAUCAAAUAUCAAUAUUGUUUUGUAAUCAACUCCUAUUUAUUAUUUUAACGCCUAAAUAAGUCCACCAUAAUGAAAAAUAUUUUUCAUAAAAUGAUCCAAACAACUGAAAAUGUUUUCGAUAGUUUAUCCAAAUAAUAAAAUAUAUUAAAUUUUCCUAUAAAAUAUUUUACAUAGGAAAAAUUUUCCUUCAGUAAGUCAAUUUACGAUUACCAAACGGACCUUAAAGUACCUGGUUUCCUUUUCAAAUUAUUUGGAAAGACCAAGAAUAGAGGUUAAGUAGAUGAACUGCAAAUUAAUCCCCUUGGCUCCUUGCGUUAAGUAGAAAUUUUUGUGGAAAAUUAAAAAUCUUAUUUUUAACACCAGUAGUGUUAAUUCAAAUUUAUACUUGUACCAAUUCAAAUUUAUAUUUAAGAGGAGAAUCAAUCCAAUCUGAAGAGUGAAAAAGUCUUGAAUUAAUUCCUUGUUGCUGAUGUAGAGAGAUGUAGUUGUAGAAGAAACUAUGCAUAGAAGGAACAAGUUUAGCCCUUGAAAAGAGCCUUGUGGAUGGCUCUUGAUCUUUACACAAAUGCUGCAGAGAACUUGUAAAUGAUGAGCUUGCAUGGAAUUUGUAUAUCUUAAUCAUAUGAAGCUUCAGUUUGGUCCUUCAAUUUCUCUAUCUAUGAAAUAAACACAAGGCAUUGUAUAUGAACUAUUCUAUACAUCUCAACUCUUCUUGGACAUAGAGAAAACCACCUUCAACUUGCUUUGAAAUUUCCUUCCUUGGUACAUGAUGCUGUCAAGUUAAGAACAUUGAAAAAUAGGAUUCAACCUUGCAAUCUAUAUUGACAUGAGGUUAACAUAAUUCUAAUCCAGUAUUGCAACUCCAUUACUGUCGACUCAAUCUGUAAUUAAUUUAAACAUAAGGGAAAGUAAGGUUAGAUUCAUUCGCAUUGGCUUUCUCUGCCCUGCUUUUAGAAAUUUCGUUGGUGAAAUUGGAUAAUGCUUCUUUCAGAUAAAAGACUUGAAGAUACCCCUUAAUAAAAGGAUUUGACAAAUUCUAAAUAUAAUUAGUUGAAUCAUAUGCAGAAACUGAAUUUGAAUCUCAAAAAGAAGAUUUUCUUCUCAUGAAAGCCUCUGUCAAGAACAUAUCCAGAUGACUUACAAUUCAAGUGAAUUUGGAUAGUGCUUCUGAUGAAAGCCUUCGAACAUUAGAACUACAGAAGACAUACAAUUCAAGUGACCAGAUUCCAGAUCAAAUAUGAACAAAUCUUGUAAAUUAGCAUUUUCUCCGCUCCUUGUUAUGCAACGACCAAGAGGCUUUACAGGAUUACGCUGCUGAAGCUUGGCAAUCAAUUUCACAUCAUUUCAUAGCACAUACAAUCCUUGUCAAGAACUCCUUCAAAGCCUAUACACAGCAAUUUGUCAUCCAUCUGAUAAUGUACCUUGAAAGGUUAAAAGUAAAGAUUGCAAAAGGGUUUUCCUUGUACAUACGUCCGAAUCCACCUUAUCCAAGCUUCUUGUAUAUUGGUGACUUUAGCUAUAGAGGAUAGGUCAAACAAGUCGAACCUCUGUGUUUUCCUUAUUGCCUACAACGUUCUGCUCAGCUUCUCCCAUGGUUUCUUUCUCUGAAAUAGAGGGAAAUGUGCCUCCUUAAGUGUACAGUUUUAAUGAUUUUUUUUUUGGAAGAUAUAGUGAUUUUUCAAUGCUGUUUUUUCCUCUGUUUUUUCUCCACUGACAAAUGAUUGAUACGCAAUUUCUAGCAAACUAUACCUUUCGAAAAAUUUCAAGAAACAGAAGAGCUAAAUGUUAUGGUUGACAAGACAAAUGAGCUUUACCUUGUAGGUUUCUCCAGAGUUUGUAAAGGUAACAGUCAAUUAUCACCAUCCCAGCAACAAUGGCAAGGUCAAUUCUGCUUUGAGAUAACAGCCAUCCUCUUCUUAGGCUCAUCUUUAGCCUUUUCAGGUUCAGAUUUGACACAGGAAAGUCAGUUAAACUUAUUUUCAGAAAGUAAGACACAGAGUUAAAAAAUGCUAAUGACACAUGAAAAAGCAAAUGAAUUAAUGAGUUAAAAUUAGGUGCAAAUUUAAUUUUGAAGCAGAAAUUUGAAUAUAAUGUACUCGCCCACCAGAAGGUUUCUGUCUGAUAUCAAAUAAUCAAAUCACAUGACUGAAAAGUUAGUGGUAGGGCCAAGAACUGAAGGUCCAUGUUUUCCUUGAAGCUUUCAGCAUGCCCUGAUCAGUUUCUUCAAUGUUUUUCUCUUAUCUAAUGUUCUGCUCAACAAAAGAAUAAAAAAUAAAAAAAUUUAAGACUAAAUGUAAAUGCAUGGUAAACUUGCUGUCUAGCUGAGAUGGUUUUAGAAAUUACUGAAGGCAUAGUGAAUGCUAAAUUUUUAAUGAAAAUCUGAUAGCCCAAUAACCAUAGGCAAAAAACAACUUGUGAAAGGACCAACCUAUCAUUGCCAUCAUCAGCCUCUUACUCUUCAUCCUCUUCUGAAGAAAAUUCUAAAACAACUUGUGAAAGGACAUCCUUAGCAUCAGGAUCAUCAAAUUCCACUAAUUCCCACCAUUUUCUUGGAUGAACAUAGCCAUGCUCGAGAGGAGGAGGAGUUGGUUGCCCAGUUUCAAGCCGGGGUAUGGAGAAAGGGAUCUUCUUGAGCUUUAGACAAUUUAUUAUUGAAAGAAAUUGGAGAGAGUUUGCAGGAACCAUAACUCCACUAGUACAAAUGCUUUUCAGUUCCGGUAAUUUGAUCAGGUGCAAGGUCUGUAAUUUGGGAAAAACAUAUGUUGUUACUUUAGGACCCCUUUCUUCUUCUUUGUGAUUUUCUUCCUCUGCUUCUGAUGCGAUUAUUUUCUCCAUCUUCUCACAGCGAUUAACUUCAAUGUACUCUAAGUUUUGCAAGCCCCGCGACAGCUGAACUGAAAACAAAUUCUUUAUACUUGAACAACGAAACAAAUGAAAUUUCCUAAGAGAAGAGAAGAUGGCAGGCGGUGCUGGAGUGUGAGAUGUAGAGACAGCUGCUACUCUUCCUUUCACAAGUUCUUGCAAGUUGGACAAACAUCGAAGACGUAGAACCUCAAUGUUCUGCAAUGAAUUGCAAGAUGAUAACGACAAAUCAACCAUGCACUUUAUUCCUUUACACCAACUAAUAGUACAUGUCUUCAACUCAUUUGCUUUACGGCACAAAGAAAUAUUGCUCAAGCUUUUGAGAUCAUGACAUGCCUCAACAGUCAGAGUCCUAACGCAAUUUGGGAGCACCACAAGAUCUUCUUUCCCUAUCUCGCAAUUAAUAAAACAUACCUUUUUGUCAACUUCGACAUCCUCAAGAUGAGAACACCAAGGAUGGCUCCUGAUGUUGCCCAAAGUAGGUGAUCCAACUCCAAGCCAGUAUUUGGAGGGCCCUUGACCCAAUAAAGACUUGGCAUAUCUCUCAAAGUCUUGUAUUUCACAAAAGAAUCCUAGAAGAAUCUCCAGCUUCCUUAGUUUGGCUACUUCCUCUCCUCUUCUAUUCAUCCAAGUUUUCAAGUAUUGGAGAUUAGAAAGCCUUAAUAGAAUUUCCGUUGGUAGUUCCUUUAGAUUCCUUGAAUAUAAAUCAAGAUAUGUGAGGCUUUCUAACAUUUCUAUACCACGAGGGACCUCCUCAAUAAUUGUAUCAAAAAGAUCCAACUUUCUCAAGGCUGUAAGCUUGGCUAAUGAAGGCACGUAUCUUAAACUGCUACACCUUCGAAGGACAAGUGCAGUUAGAUUUUCCAAGUUAGAAAUGGAAUUGGGCAGAUCAUAAAUGCCAGUAUCCGAAAGAUCUAGAACUUUUAGCCCAUGCAUGUGGUCAAAGAAAGAUUCUGGAAUUCUUUUGAGACUAUGAUUUUCUUGCAAUAACAAGGUUGACAAAUUAAGGCAUUUCGGUGAUAUCUGAGGAACUUGUGAUAUGUAAUUGUGAAUCAAGGAAACCUUCUCAAGAUUCUCUUUCCAUUUAUGCUCACUUGGUAACUCCACUAAUUGCAUACCAGCUUGAACCAUAAAGUGAUGACACCCUCUUAUAAUAGACAAUGCCAUGUCUCUUAGAACAUCAUGCACCUUCACUUCUUCCUUAACAUUGUAAGUCAUCACCCUCUCUAACAAGCAAUUAUUUACAAGCUUAUUUAAAAUAGCGCGACCUCUGUCUUGCAUUGCCUGUCUAGUUUCUAAUUCAUCAAUGAGAUCCUCAUCUAUCCAUUUUUCAAUCAACUCUUCUUCCACAAUGUGAUAAUCUUCAGGAUACAAGGAACAAUAUAAGAAACAAUUUUGAAUUUUUGAAUCUUUCAAACGAUCAUAACUGAAUUUCAUACGCUCAAAUAUUUCAAUAUCUAACCCUUUCACACUUUUAACCCUUUCACGUAAUUCAUUUAGUGCAUUCCUCCACUCGCAAGUAUCGUCCACUCCUCUCAUGCUACUAGCUAUAGUCACAAUGGCAAGCGGUAAACCACCACAUUCGUCAACAAUAAGGUUUGCAAUUUCCUUUACAGUUGGAUGUUGUAGAACCCUAUCCCCCACCAGAUUCAAAAAUAAGUUCAAUGACACCUUCUGCGAAAGAGGCUGCACUUUAAACACCUUACAACCCAUAGAAUUACAAACCUCAAUUGAUCUACUAGUGAUUAUCACUUUGCUCCCAUUAUGUAAUGUUGGUUCCGGGAUUCCCACAUCCAAUAGAGAAAACCGUUCCCAAACAUCAUCUAAGAUCAACACAUAUCUCUUUCUUUCCAAGACUUCCAUUAAUACAGUUGCCCAUUGCAACUUAUUUUCUGGAAGACAGCAUUCUAAAGCACAUGCAAUAUCUCCUUGUAAUUUGACAGCAUUGAAUUCUCUAGAUACGGUGACCCAAAUCACUGCAUCAAACUGAUUUUCCUUCAACAAUUGAUUAUUGAUAUGCUUCAUGAUGGUAGUUUUUCCCAUUCCACCCAUACCACAUACUCCAAUCAUGCCAACCUCGUCACCCAUUAAAUUUUCCCAAAUUUGUUCCUUUACAUCGAUUUCACCUUCUAGUUUUGUUGUGAGAAAUGUCACCCCUGUAGCUGGAGGCCCAUCAAUUGUUACACCCUCAGGGAAAUUACCUCGUUGAUAAAUUUCCUUUGCUUCUUCAAUCUUCUGGCAAACAAAUUUCCCUAGGCGUGCACGUGAGAAGUAUGAAACAACACGCAAUUUCUCUUCAAUCAUUUGAAGUUCAAUAUUUAUCCGUUCUAAAUCUUCAAACCAUUUCUCCACUUCUUUCUUCACCACUCUUCUGCAACGAAUAUCUGCUUCCUUUCUGAAUUCAAGGUCUUGCUUUCGAAUAUUUAGAUCAUUCACUUUUCUUUUAAGAUCAUUCACAUUUUCCUUAAGUUUCCGAUGAUGACUAAUGGAUCUAUAGGCUGGACCCCCAAAGCACUUUACCACUUCGAAAAUUGGCCCUAGAAGCUCCAUAUAAGCUACUCCCUGUAGUUUAAAAACCAAUAUGUAUAUUACAUCUCCAUAUAAGAUACUGCUUGUACUACUAUGUUAUUAAAUCUCAAACUUUUAUCAAUUCUUCUAAAGAAAAAAAAAACAAAAGAAAAAAUAUUGCUUUUAAAAAACUUUAUUAAAUACAAGAAUCCAUCAUCUAUGAGAAUAGUGUUUAUAUUUCUAAGACUACUUAUACGUUAAUGGUUUUAUAUAUAGUAUAUGUAGAUGAAUGUAUACAUGUUUGUGUUUAUAUAUUUAUAUAUAGUGUUCAACUUUCUCACUUAAGAACCAUCACAAAUUCUUUAAAUAUGUCUGACCUGUGUUUUCGAGUCUUGAUCAUUAGAACAUUAAUAAAAGGAGGAAUAAAAAAAUGAGAAAACAAUUCUCAAUAAUAUUAAACAUCAAGGACCCAAGCAACUUUCUCACUUAAGUUGUAUCACUCUCUAACAGGUAAUUAUUUUCAAGCUUAUUUAAAAUGCCCUCUGUCAUGCUUUGUUUGUCUGGUUUCUAAGCUGCCAUGGAGCCUCUCAUCUAUCCAAGUUUCAAUUAAUUUCAUUUUCUCAAUUUCAAAUUCUUCAGGACAUAAGGAACAAUAAUAUAAGAAAAAAUUUUAAAUUUUGUAUUUCUCAAGCAAUCAUAACUAAACUUCAAACAACCAAAUAUGUUGACGUUCACACCUUUCACACUUGUCACCCACUCUUCGAAUUCAUUCAGUGCAUACCUGCACUCACAAUAUCAUCUACCCCUUUCAUGCUACUGGCUAUUAAUGUCGCAAAGCGGUAAAUCGCACAUUGCUCAACAAUUUUGUUGACAAUGUCUUUUAAAUUUCAAUCUCAUACAACACCACAUGAUCUAAGAAUAAGUUCAUGGACCACGUUUUUUAAAGUGAUUUCACUUUGACAACCACACUAUCCAUAAAUUUACAGACCUCAAUUGAUUUACUAGUGAGUACAACUUUCCUCCCCAUACCUAAUGUUGGUUUUGUGAUUCCUACAUCCAAUAGAGAAAAAAUUGUUUCUAAACAUCAUCUAAAAUCAACGCACAUCUCUUUUCCUCCAAAAUAUUAUUUAAUGUUGCUGCUUAUUGCAAUAUAUCUUUUGGAAGAGAUUGGUACGAAGAAUCUGCAAUAUCUUCUUGCAAUUUGAAAAUAUUCAAUUCUUUUAAUAGGUGAGCCAUUCCACUUUAUCAAGCCAGUUAUCCUUCAACACUUGAUUAUUUAUAUGCUUCAUGAUGGUGGUUUUCCCUAUGCCACUCAUUCCAUAUACUCCAAUCAUUCCAAUCUCAUCACUCAUCAAAUACUUCAUUUUUUAAUUUUUCUUCAAUUUCACCUUCUAGAUUUGGUGUUGGUAAUGUCACCCUGGUGGCUAAAGGCCCAUCAAUUGCCACACCAUCAAGGAAACCACCUUGUUGGUAAAUUUCCUCUAAUUCAUCAAUCAUUCAACAAAAUGAUUUUCCUGGACGACCGCAUAAGAAGUAUGAACCAACACAGAACUUCUUUUCAAUAUUUUCCAUUUCAGUCACCCUUUGUACGUCUUCAAAGGUUAAAUGGAGCACAGUAUGCAAGCCCAAAAGAUUUGGAGGACUGGGGAUCUCAAACCUUAAGCAUAAAAACUUAGCUCUCCUUGCAAAAUAUUGGUGGUGGCAGUAUGGCAACGAGGAAAACGCAUUAUGGAGGUGGCUGAUUGUAGAAAAAUAUGAAAGGGGGCAAAAUCAUUGGAUCCCCUCAUCAUCAAACAUGGGAAGAAUGUCACUGAUAUGGAGAUCCAUUGUAAAUUUACCUUCCAACAAGGGUGUUCAAGAACUUGUGUGAGACCAAGCAUGUCGCUGGAUUACUAUUUUCUUUUGGCUUUACAAAUUGAUUAAUGAUGUUCCUCUUUUCUCCAAAUUUUCUCCUCUUUUCUCUUUGAUUGUUUCAAAGGAAAUGAAAGUUGUUGACGUGCAGAACAAUCGCACUUGGUCCAUAACCUUUAAACACAAUCUACAUUUAUGGGAGAAAGAAUCCUAGGAUGAGAUCCUCCACAAGUUCUCCUCGAUUCCUUACUCCAAGGAAAAGGUGAUAAGCUCAUUUGGCGGCAUGACCCUAAGGGUGCUUACUCUAUUAAAACUUUCUACUUACUCCUUGAUGCUAAUCCUAGUGCUUGAAAGUUUGGUUCAACACUAUUUGGCACUUCUCCAUUCCACCGAAGGUGCAAUGUUUCCUAGGGCUCUCGCUCAUAUAUAGAUUCUUUACCUACCAAAGGCUUCCUUUCGUCCGAGGUGUUUAAUUCAAUGUUGAGCAACUUAGAUGCCCUUGGUGCAGCCUUGUAGUGGAGACAUUUGUUCUUUGUAUUAUCUUUCAGUAUGUUGCUAGUAGUUGAUGUAUAAUUCUCUUAGGCCAUGUUUCGGAUUGUUCUGCAUUUUGUAAGCCAGGCUGGUUAGGUUCUGUUAUGCACUCUUUGUGCACUCCCCUGUUUUUUUCAUUUUCUGUUCUGCAUCAACAGUUCAUUCCCAGCCUUGUACUUUAAAAAACCAACUUAUAUUACAUCUCCAUAAGAUAUAAGCUAUACCUUGUACUAAAAAGCAAAAGAAAAAUAAGUUUUGAAAACAUUAUUAGAAACAAGAAGUUUUUGUUUCGAUCAUCUAGGUGAAUAAUGUUUACAUUUCUAACACUAUAUUUAUCAAGCCGAAUGUAUAUACUAUUUAUAUAUAGCAUAUACUUCCCCCCCUAGAGAGCCAACACAAAUUCUUAAAUAUGUCUUGCCUACAUAUCUCAAAAAGAUAUUUAAGAAAUAAUUGCAUGAAUAAAUUGAGAGGGUAAAAUGACAUUAAAAAUACCAGGUUUCUUCUUCAGGAAAGAUGAAGAACAGGGCUCAAGUAGUACAAAUUAAUCCCCUUGGUUCCUUGCUAAGCACAAAUUUGUUGUGGAAAAUAGCUGACAUAAAAGAGGAACAAUCACUAGUGUUGUAAAGGUGAAAAGCUUAUUUGCUAAAGUUUUUGGAAUUAUUCUUAUUCUUGCUCACUAUAAUUAAUUUCAGCCUAAUUAAUAGAAUAGAAGCAUGACAAAGAAAGAACCAAAAUAAUUUUGUGCAACUUGACUAAAGAUGAUGAAAUUAUGUUACAAGAUUAUAAGAUUCUAAAGAACAUGAACCCAAAAGAUUAAAAAUCAUAAUAUAAAGGAAUAGGCAGUUCAAUUACCUGGUUAAAUGAGACAAUGAAUGGGUACGUCUCCUCUCCUUAGAGGGUCUUGGUUAUAUUGGUGGAAUGGAAGAUUAAUAUCUCCUUCUAGAAUUUGUCAAGAACAGAGCAAAAUCAGAUCUCUCUGCUGGCAAAAUAAUACUAAUUGACGAUGUGGAGCAACAAAACUUGUCACACGCCCUAUAUCUACUUUCUUAUAUUUAUAUUUCAAAGGAGAAUUAAUCCAAUUUAGAAAAGUCAUGAAUCAUAAUUUCUUGUUGCCGAAAUAGGAAGAUUUGGUUAUAGAAGAAACUACGCACAACAAGUUCAGCACUUUUGUUCUUUUUUAUAAUUAAGAAACAAACAUAACCCAAAAAGACAUAUGUUUAAGCAAUCAAUAUUGCAAGAAUAAAGGAGACGGUAGAAUGAUUGCAAGGGCUAAAGCCAUAUAUAGUAGGGGAAAGGAUAUGAAACCUGUUUCCUUCUUCAAAUUAUUUGGAAAGAUGGAGCUGAACAGGUUCUGAGCCACAAACCUCUUGGAAUUUUAUGUGGAAAAGUAACUGACAUGAAAGAAGGAGAAUCAAUAGUGUUAUGAUAAAGCUGAAACUCUUCACUUGUAGCCUAUGGGUCUAGUUUCUACUCAUUAAUGGAGAGAAUUAUUGAAUUAGGAAGCAAAAAAGAAUAUAAAGUCGGCAACUCAAUGCAAAGUCAUGAUAGGAGUUGCGAAGUCACUUUCCUUGAAUUCAAUAAAAAAACUGGCCACUUGUCCUCUCUAUAAUUCCAAUAUUGUCCUCACAAAUUUCUUUAUGUGUUAAGGAAAAGACCAUAAAUACGUAGAGAUGUUAAAACAGUGUAUCGGCUGAAUAACCAAGCUACUGUUUACUGCAAUAGAACCUUGACAUGACAUAAUUACACGUAUAAAAUUAUUCUUACUAAUAAUAAAGGUUUAAAUAUUGGUCAAGUAAUUUUGGUUGGACCACACUUGACUUUUUACUUAUAAAAAAUUUAGAAUUAUUUGUAAAAAUUAUUUUAUUCAUAACUUUUAAUAUUCAAAAAGCUUGUAAAAUAGUAAAAGAUAAAAUCAGAAAAGCAAAGCAGAGAAGAAACAAUACCAAGAAGAUAGCAACUAGCAAAAUCUUCUAUCCAAAGAGAAUGAAUUUUUGGAGCAAAAACAAAAUUAAAAAAUGGCCAAGUCAAUGCCACAAGUCGUUGCUGAGGUUUCCAAGUAACUUCCCUCGAAACAUGAUAUAUAUAAAUGCAUAUUUCCUAUUUUUUGUCGUUCGGAACAUAGAAUUUUCCUUUAUUUUUAAUCUAUUCUCACUUUGUAAAUUUUGUUUGACCAUUGGCUUUCUGAAUCUAAUCUAACCUCGUAUAAUUUCAUCAUGAGGUUUGUAUAUUAAUAAUGAUCAUUGAAGAAUCUAAAAUUAACAAUUAUCAAGUGGCCACUAAAGAAAAACUAAAAUGAAGUAUACUUUGUGUGAAAAUUUUUACUUUAUUGUUCAGAGUCUAGUCUUCUAGAGAUCAUAUUCUAUCUUGUGUGUGACAGACACCAAUUCUUAAUGCUCUGCACUGAAAACGCAAUAUACAUUUGCUGAAUCGAAAUUUAUAUUCAAAAGGAGAAAUAAUCCAAUUUAAUAAAUUACUAAAAAUGUCAUGAAUUAUAAUUCCUUGUUGCUGAUAUAGAAAGAUUUGUUUAUAGAACAAACUAUGCCCAACAAGUUUAUCCCUUGAUAUAAGUAAUGAGAAAGGAAAGAGGCUUGUGCAUGAUGGGGAUUCAGCUUCUUGCUUAUCAGCCAUUUCAGAUUACUUCAAAAAAUGAAGGGGAACAGAUCAAUUCAUUCUCUUCCAGAAUAUCCUGUUUAUUAUUUCCAUGGUUAUCGGUAUCAUAUCUGUUUAUCAAACCGAUAUAUUAUCCUUCAACAAUUGAUUAUUUAUGUCCUUCAUGAUGGCAGUUUUCCUAUGCCACCUAUUCUGCGUACUGUAAUCAUUCAAACCUCAUCACUCAUCAAAUACUCCCAAAUUCGUUCUUUAAUUUUACAUCGAUUUUAACUUUUAGAUUUGGUGUUGGUAAUGUCACCCAGGUAGCUAGAGGCCGCAUACUGUCAAGGAAACUACCUUGUUACAUUUCCUUCUUCAAUCCUUCAGCAAACAAAUAAAUUUGCUAGCAUAAAUCAAACAAAAAUCAAACUUUAUUAGAUUUAGCAAUACAUCCAAUUUCCAAAUAAAAUAAAACGGAUACAAGAUACCAUCCACUAACAGUGACACAACUCCUGCAAACAAUUCAAAAUAUAUUACAGCAUAACAAUAUUCCUCCCCUUCCCACCCCAUUUAUUUACAAUGUAUCCCAACCGGCCAAUCGGCAGGCAAAGUUGGGUAAGGGGAGUGUUGCUUCCUCGAUUACUUGCAAGUGACGUAUACUUCCACUACACCACAAUCACCAUCUAUUCUCUUGGAUUGGGUUCCGACCAGUGCAUCAAAGUGUAAACUGACAAUGUUGUGAGGCGGAAGCGUAUCUUUUUCUGCCAUCGAAUAAACUUUCCUCCUUUAAAGUGAUCUAACUUGAUAAUGUUGGUAGCUAUCUCUUUAAGUGAAGCCAUUUUGAAUGCUAAGAAAAUAAGUCUUAAAAUUGUUGGUACAAAUGGGGUUUAAAUGGAAUUCAAAAACUAGCAUAAUUGACUUCAAGACAAGCCUUUCAAUAGAAGUUAUAUUUAAAUUUAUUUUGCCCCCACCACUCAGUAUGCAAAAGAGGAAUAAUGCGAAUAGCCUUAGGGAUACAAUGAAAUCAACAUCUAACUUCAUCUUACACUUUAUGAGAGUAGACCGCUAGAUACACCUGAGGAUUUACAAAAUUAUUUGGCUUUAGAGCUUACUUUUUGCAACAAGUAGAUUAUAAGGAAUUUGGACGCUUUUGUAGUUGAUGGGAACUUAAGUGUUUACGUUAAUAGAACAAAAUAUUUUUCUUACUCUUUGAUAUUUCUGCUCUUGUUUUGUUUUUGAUUUGAUGUCUCAAAAUGGUUGGCAACAAGCCCUUCCUAUAGGCUUCCUAUAGGCUUGCAAGUGUCUCUUCUUCAAUGACCCAACCCUUUCAUUAAGGCACCAUUUUGUCUAAAAGACAUCUUUACAUUUUGUUAGACAUAACUUUUGGAUAAAUGUAUUAUUUCAAUAGUCAUCUUAUGAAAAGAUAACUAUUCAUUCUAUAAAAUAUAAUCUUUGAGUUAUAAUUUGUAAUAAUAACAUUCCGUAUUUAACUUUUGAGCUAUGGUGUCUUUUUAAUUUAUCUCAUAACUUUUGAAUGUCAUUUUACUAAGAGACAUAACCAUUCAUAUGAAAACUUGCCUACAAUCCAAUAGACACACUAUGUCACUUUAUGUGACAUAACCUUUGAGCUAAGAUAGCUUUUCAUUAUAUGAUACAAUCUUUGAUUUUGAAAAUGCACCAACAACUUUGACCUUAUAAACAACUCUAAAACCACCUUCCCCUAGCUUGAUGUCCAUAGAAAAGCUAUCAGUAGCACGAGCUACGGUAGCAAGCUCCAAUAUUGGAAGCUCCAUGUCUUCAUCCUGGCCUUGAUUUUCUUGAUCAUUUUCCUUAUUGUCUUUAGUUUCUUUAAAACAGUAGCCAAAAUAGGCUUGGCAUUCACCAUAAAAUAUGAUAGAUUCUUAUGCAUUUUGAUUGAGCUAGAUAAUUGGACAAAAAGCUGAUGUGGUUUUUGAGAUCACACAAAACCAUGUAUCUCCAGUUAUUUGCUUCAUUAACAACUCUAUUUUGACACCGAUAAGCAUUGAAGAAACUGCGUGUUGAUUUGCUAGCAUCAUUACUAACAAAGGAACAAAAUGAGCAUUAUUUGUGAAGGAUAUUUCAAAGUUACGUCUGAACUUUCUGGGGCUUCUAUAAAUGUAAUAACUGACAAUAAACAGCCCCAAAACCACAGCACAGUAGUGUUCCAAUCACUGCAGCAAGCUCCAUCCUGAGCUUAUCUUUCAAUUCUGUAUGACAGAAUUUGAUAAAGAAAAGCAUAUAUGAACAAAAAAAAGUAGUGAAAACAAGAGAAAAUGUAAACUCAUACCUGAUUUUGGAGCAGACACUCUAACAUAUAGGUCCUGCCCUACUGAUUGAAAUUUUCUGUAAUCAAUCAAAUUACCAAACCAAAAGGCGCAUCCCCAAACUCUUCCUCCAUUAUCUGAACUAGUGUAUGCUUGGCUUUCUACAUUCCAUGUGAAGUCCUGUAUCAUCAGUUUGGUUCAGAACAAGUCCUGUGAUCAAUGAUUUCUAUUUGAGACAUUUUGUAUGGUUGAAAUAUAAAAUAGAAAUACCCGGACAUUGAAGAGAUAUUGAAGAGAAUUUGCAGGAAUCAUAACUCCAAAACCACAAAUGCUUUUCAGCUCUGGUAAUUUCAAUAAGGAAAGUUUCCUUAAUUUGGGAAGAAUGAAUGUUAUGCUAACAGCCCUUCCUUCUCCUCUGUUAUUUUCUCCCUCCUCUUCUGAUUCUAUUAUUUGCUCCAUUUUUUCACAAAGCCUGACAUCAAUUUCCUCCAAAUUUUGAAAACACUGCAACAGCUUAAUUGAACACAACUUCUUCAUCCUCGAACAGUUUCUCAAGUAAAAACUUUUGAGAGAAGAGAAAAUGGCAGGUGGUGUUGGGAUCUGAGAUGGAGAUACACAUAGAUUCAUGGUUUUCAUGAAUAAGAUAAAAAUGUUAUGAUCACCAUUUAAACAUAAUAUAUAUAUAUAUUUAGAGUAAUCACACUAAUCAUAUCAAAUUAAACUCAUACUCAUAAUUUGCACGCAACAUCAAAUCACCAAAUCUUAUAUAGAUAAUUUAAACUAUUAAUCUUGUUUAAUUAUAUUUGUAUUCAUCAUUUGAAGGGCUUUGUAAAUUUGUAAAGUAAACAACAAUAAGCAAUAAUUAUGUUUAUUUUCAAUAUCUUGGUACUGAUACAUCACUUCCCAAAUAUGCUUUCCUUUUCUUUUUCAUAUAUAGACAUUGUUUUAUUUGGAGAUUGUAGCUAGCUAGACACCAUUAUUGCCAGUCCAAGAGGUGACACUUUGGAGAUUGAAUAGCAUUUAAUUUUCAGGUGUUUUGGUCUUGAGAUGAGUGGCAACAUUAAUUCUUUUGGAUCUGUUGAAUUAGCUUUUGUAUAUAAAAGAAGGUAUACCUCCUCAAACAUGGAAAAUCCCCUUUCAAACCCAUAAUUUUAAAGAAAGAAAAUCCUAAUUUAAUAGAUUAGUUGCCAACUAAGGACAAGCAUUGUUGAUGUGACAUUUAUUUUGGUAUAUUCUAACACUCGUUGACUAGAUUCAAUUGGAUAGGAUUCUUAAUUUUGAUGAGAUUUAUGGGUAGUGAUUAAACAAUGGAAGUGUUGACAAUGGAGGUUCUAAGUCCCUUGCAUCUAAGAAAGAAAUGAAUUUGUUCAAUUGACACUGCUUUGGUACAUAUAGAAAGUAAGCUAAUACCAUAGCCAUAUUUCUUACGUGACUUCCAACAAAUUUGAGACUUCAGUAUGGCAAAAUAUUGGGUAUUUGAAUAAAUUACAAUACAAAUAGAGAAAGAAAAAAGAAAGAGACUAAAUAGAAAGGGGAAGUGGAAAGAUCCCCAAAAUCAAUUAAUUGUAAGUGGAAGGAGCAAAGCCCAACUUUGUUGGCAACAAAGUCAUGUUCCCACAGAUGAUUUUGUUCUUGUUGCAGAGCGUUGUCAAUAAUAUUUACUUCCAGGCUGUCUUUUGGUAAAUAGAAGCCGAUAAUGGUUCUCUGGAUCAAGCUCAAAUAUAGCUCCAUCUUCAAAAAUGAAUUGCAAAUCCUGACACUGAAGACAAAAUCAAGCCUUGUUAUUGCUUUUAAUAAAAGCAAAUAAAAUUUGAAGGGUGUUCAGCUGGGCAAUUACUAGUUCCCAAGUAACAGUUUUAACUGCUACUUUCCUGUACCAAAUUCCCAAGCAACGAUUCUUAGAGCUUCCAGGACUAAAGAAACCAAGCUCAAGGAUUCCGUCCAUCACUAACAGACUGGGAGGAGGCGGAGAUAUCGAUUCCAUCAGCAAUACUUGAAAACAAUAUUAGUAAAACAGUGUUGGUGAACAUGGAAGACAGAAUGUCCUUUUAAACUUUCAGAGCUUGUAAAACUCAUAGAAAAACUUUUCAGUUUGGCAGAUUUUAGAGAGCAAACAUAUUUAAACUGAUGAUCGUUGACUAGUAUGCAAAUCUUCCUUGAAAAGACCAAACUUUUCAGGUUGCAUAGAAUUCUUAUUUCUAAUUUUUAUGAAGCUUCAGUGCAGUCAUCUUGUAUUGUCUCUGUGAAUCAAAUAUAUAAAUAAAUAUAUAUAUAUAUAUAUAUAUAUAUUACCCACAAAUAGACACUUGCAGGGCGCUAAGCUCAAACUGGGACUAAACCACUGGUAUCAAAGCAUAAGGUACAUGACAUACUGACUGAUAGCCUAUAAUAAUGGCUUGGAGAUAAAAGAGCUAAGUAUACAGUUUAUCAAUUAUCAAGCAUCUAGUACUGACAGAGUUAUUUCAUUUGUGGGAGACGAUACAUUCUUGUCUGAUGAAGAAUCUUAUUCAAGUGGACUUUUCUUAAACAAAACACCAGGUUGUUUGGGGUGUGGCAAUUCAUUUUCGCUUCCCAAUGUCAGAAUCACAAAUGACAUACUUGGCCUAUCCUCUGGAUAUGCUGUUGUAAACUUAAACGACUGAUAAUGGAUGAAUUGUAUCACUUCUGAUAGAUUGCAAAGACUCUCCUAAGCAUUCGUCAACAAGUUUUAAAGGACUGCCUUAUUUACAUAAUCUUCAUGCCUGCAGCAAAUUGAAACCCUUUUAGGUUUUAUCAAUCCAAGAUAGGCAACAAAAAAUUGAUUAUAAAAAUAUCUGCUGAAACUGACAUGUUCAACAAGGUUGCCGCUUUGUGUUGGAUGGUAAAGCCCUCUAUUUUUUCUUCCCACUUAUUAUCUCCAUCAAUAAUAUACCAAAGCUAAAGAGAUCUGAUUUUACUGGAAGCAGUCCAUCAAUAGCAUAUUCCGUGCCAUAUAACCACUGCAGAACAUUAUCAAAAGCAAUAAAUAUAUGAGGGUAUGUAGACAUUAUGAAAAUAAAGUGAAAGUUAGUAAGUUCCAACCACUCUUUUAGCGUUCCCUUCAGUUUGGUCUCCUCCAAAAGUUCUAGCCAGUCCAAAAUCUGAAACUUUUGGAUUCAUCUCACUAUCAAGCAGAACGUUAUUAGUUUUGAGAUCUCUGUGAAUAAAAAAAAAUUAUUCAAAUGAAAUGGCAAAGAAUCUAAUUAACUCGUUUGAAGAAACUUUGGAUUUGCUAGCAUCACCAUUAACAAAGUGUUUUUUUUUUUUUUGUUUAUUUUGCAAAGGACAACUUGGCACGAUCUCUGUAAAGGAAAUGACUGACAGUGAACAACCCCAAAAGCACAACACAGUGUUAAUGCAGGAAGUUUUAUCCUAAGCUUAUCUUUCAAUUCUGUAUGAUGAAAUUUGAUAAAGAAAAGCAUACAUGAACAAAAACAAAAAAAGCAUUGAAAACAAGAGAAAAUGUAGACUCCUACCUGAUUCUGAAGCAGACAUUUUAACAUAUAGAUCCUGCCCUUUUGAUUGAAAUUGUCUGUAAUCAAUCAGAUGAUGAAACCGAAGGGCUCAACCACUACCUAUUCCUCUGUUAUCUGAACUAGUGUAUGCCAUAUAGGAAUAGUUCUACAGAUACUUAGCCCUGCGUCCCUUAAAAUUCAUACUUUUAGUUACCCAAGAAUGUGUAGCAUCUUGCAUUUUCAAAUCUUUUAAAUCUGACAAAUCCAUCUCUACUUUGGCAGUUGAAUGGCUUAUUGUGCUUACACCUUUGGGACCAGUCUGAUGAGUUCUAUCUUUCGGGAAAUUCAGGCUUAAACAUCAGCUUUCAGGGAAUUAAGGCUUGAAUCCUUUAAAAAGUGCAAGCUGAGCACCAUCACGAUUCCUUUUUGAACCACAAAGUCCAUAUCUGUCACAGUAGUCUCUUGGAGCAAAUGAGAAAAGCAUCCAAGCUUGCUUUCUGCAUUUCAUGUGUAGUCCUGUGAUCAAUGAUUUCUAUUUGAGACGCUUUGGAUGGUUGACAUAUAUAAUAGAAAUACCAGGUGGGUAGAUCAUGCAUUGUUUUCAUAAGAUGAUGUGAUUGAGUGACUUUUGAUGAAUGCAGAAUACACAAAGUGCAGCAGAAAACAAAUUAUAAACAUUGAGGUCCCAGAUAAUUUGUAUUUUUCAAUAAUAUGCAGCUUGUUCCUCUAAUCAUUCUCUUGAGUGGACAAACAUAACUUCAAUGACUUACUUGUAUUAAAUGAUUUCCAAUUCAUGAACCAGUUGAGACCAGUGUGGAUGCGUUUUCUCACAUCUGAUAGGUUGCAGGACAGUCCUAAGAAUUCACCACCGAGUUCAACAGGGGUGCCUUCCUCUCAUAAUCUCCAUGCCUGCAGCAAAUUGAAAACCUUUUAGUCAUUUUAUUAAAGUAUUUUAAUUCAUAAUAAUUAAAGUAUUUUAUUUAAGUGUUAAAGUUCUAUUUAUAGUAGUAGUAAUUAUUAUUAUUAUUAUUAUUAUUAUUAUGAGUGUGUGUGUGUGUCUUUUUUUGUUUUAAAAUUUGAAAAAAAAAAUUAAAACCAAAUUUGAAAAAUGUGAGUGAAAAUGAAAAUAAAGGAAAGGGGUAGGACGUGUCAGAUAGCAAUUGGCUGAGAUAUGCAGAUUGAAGGGUGUUUAGUUGGAGAUUUUUCUAUCAUUCAUAAAAUUAAAGACUUGGUUUUAUGUUUAUAUUAAAAAAGAGAAAUUAUUUAGCAAAUGAGAAAUUAAGAGAUAAAAAUAUUUAGCAAAUGAGAAAGAGAUGAAAAUAAACUCACAAUUAAUGUUUGCUGUUUUUAAUAAGAAGCAAGAGCCUUGCACCCUCAUUUAAUCAAACACCUCUUCUCCAUCUCAUUCUACCAAUACUGAACAAAGGGAGAAAGGACAUCCUUAGCAUCAGGCUGAUCCCAUUCCACUGAUUCCCACCAUUCUCUCGGGCUUACUAUGAUUCGUUUUAGAAAAGGAGGAGGCAAUGGUUUCCCAUUUUCAACAAGGGGAAGAGACAAUGGGAUCCUCUUUACUUCUGGACAAUCGAAUAAUGUGACAUGUUGGAGAGAAUCUACAGGAAUCACAAGUCCACCACGGCAUAUGCUUUUCAAUUUUGGUAAUUCUUCCAAGACUAAUGAUUUUAAUUUGGGAAGAAUAAAUGUUGUUCCUUCUCGUUCCUGAUUUUCUUCUGAUGCUAUUAUUUCCUCCAUUUCAUAACAAUUUCCAACUAUAAUUUCCUCUAAGUUUUGGAGGCUUUGCAACAGCUCAACUGGAUACAACUUCUUAAUCUCGUAACAAGAAUACAGUUUCAGUGUUUUAAGAGAAGAGAAGAAGGCAGGUGGUGUUGGAGCAUGAGAGGUAGAUUCAAUUUCUGCUGCUACUCCUACUCUCACAACUUCACGCAAGUUCCACAAUGACUCAAGCCAUAGCUCCUCAACGUUGUGAAGUGCGUUGCAAGACCAUGAUGACAAGUCAACCACACACUCUAUCCCUUCACACCUCCGAAUUCUACAUUUCUUCAAGUCAGUUGCCUUACGAAACAAAGGAAUAUGGCUUAAACAUUUGAAAUCAUUACACCCCUCAAUACGUAAAGUAUGAAGGUCAUUUGGGAGCACUACAUCGUCACACCUUUCUAUCUCCAAAUUUGUGAAUUCAACAUUUUUCUCAAUUUCGUUGAAAUCUGGGGAAUACCCAAUAUAAAUAUUCACAUCUGGUCCCACUUGAAAAUCGAAAGAUGUAGGCCAUUUACCUUGUGUAGACUCUGCAUAUUUCUUAAACUCUUGCAUGUCGCAAAAUGAACAUGAAACACACUCAAGCUUCCUCAAUUUGCCUACUUCUUCCCCCCUUAAAUGUAACUCCACCAGUAAGCAUUGCAGAUGAGAAAUCUUCACUAAUAUUCCCAUUGGUAGCUCCUUUAGAUGCGUUGACCCUAGACGAAAAUAUCUAAGGUUUUGUAACAUUUCUAUACCAUGAGGAAACUCCUCAAUGCUUGUACUAAAAAGGUCCAACUUUCUCAGUGCUCUGAGCUCUGCUAAUGAAGGCACAUAUUUUAACAUGUGACAAUUAGCAAGUAUCAAUGCAUUGAGAUUUUUCAACUUAGAGAUGGAAUUGGGUAGAUUCUCAAUCUCAUAAUUACCAGAAAGAUUUAGAACUUUUAGCCCAAGCAUGUGCUCAAAGAAAGAUUCUGAAAUCCUUUUUAAGUCACAAUAUUGCAAUAUCAAAGUUGACAAAUGAGGACAUUCAGGUGAUAUGUGAGCAGGGAUUUCUAUUAAUUUUGAAUUUCGCAUCAAAGAAACCUUCUCAACACUCGUUGUCCAUUCUUGCUCACUUGGUAGUUCCUCCAACUGCACAUUGGCUUUUACCAUGAACUGAUGACCUUUAAUAUACAAUGCCAGGUCUCUCAAAACAUCAUGCAUCUUAACUCCUCUUUCAUCCAAAUAAGUUUCAUCCCUCUCUAACAAGCAAUUAUUUUCAAGCUUAUUUAAAAUGCUAUGGCCUCUGUCAUGCAUUUCUUUUCUAGUCCUCAAGCCAUCAAGGAGUCCUUCAUCUAUCCAGUUUUCAAUUAAUUCAACUUUUUCAAUCACAAAAUCUUCAGGAUACAAGGAGCAAUAUAAGAAACAAUUUUGAAUUUUUGGAUCUUUCAAAUGGUCAUAACUGAACCUCAAACGCUCAAAUAUUUCAACAUCUGAUCCUUUCACACUUUUCACAUGCUCUUCUAAUUCAGUUAAUGCAUUUCUCCACUCACAAAUAUCAUUUACCCCCUUCAUGCUUUCAGCUAUUGUGACAAUGCUAAGUGGUAAACCGCCACAGUGCUCAACAAUUUUGUUGACAAUGUCUUUUAAAUUUUGAUCUUGUACAACACUAUGCCCCACAUGAUCUAAGAAUAAGUUCAUGGACUCUGUCUUUGAAAGUGGUUGCACUUUGACCACCUUACAAUCCAUAGAUUGACAAACCUCAAUCGAUCUACUAGUGAGUACAACUUUCCUCUCCAUGCCUAGUAUUGGUUCAGGGAUUCCCACAUCCAAUAAAGAAAAUCGUUUCCAAACAUCAUCUAAAAUUAACACAUAUCUUUUUCUCUCCAAAACAUCCUUUAUUGUUGUUGCUUGUUGCAAUUUAUUUUUAGGAAGAGAUUGUUUAAGAGAAUCUGCGAUAUCUUCUUGCAAUUUGAAAAUAUUCAAAUUUUUUGAUACAGUGACCCAUAUCACUUUAUCAAACUUCUCACUUUCCUUUAACAAUUGAUUAUUGAUAUGCUUCAUGAUGGUAGUUUUCCCUAUACCACCCAUUCCACAUAUUCCAAUCAUUCCAACCUUAUCACCCAUCAAAUACUUCCAAAUUUGCUCUAUUACAUCAAUUUCACCUUUUAUAUUUGGUGUUGGUAAUGUCACCCCAGCGGUUGGAGGCCCAUCAACUGCCACACCGUUAGGGAAACUACCUUGUUGGUGAAUUUCCUUUACCUCUUCAAUCUUUCGACAAACAAAUUUUCCAAAAUGACCACGUAAGAAGUAUGAAACAACACGGAACUUGGUUUCAAUCUUUUCCAUUUCAGUGUUUACCUUUUCUACAUCUUUAAACCAAUUCUCCACUUCUUUCUUCACCACUUUUCCAUGACGAAGCUCCGCUUCCUUUUUUAAUACGAGGUCUUCCUUUUGAUCAUUUAGAUCAUUCACUUUUCUUCGAAGAUCAUUCAUAUGUUCUUCAAGUUUCGGGUGAUGAUCUAUGUAUGUACAGAUUGGACCACCAAAGCACUUUAUUGCUUCAAAAAUUGGCCCUAUAAGCUCCAUAUAAGCUAUUCCCUGUAGUUUAAUAAACCAAGAUAUAUUAUAUCUCCAUAUGACAUAAGCUACUCCCUCUUUAUACUAAAAUUCUAUAUUUUCCAUAUAAUAUAGAAUAUGUUAGAAAAAAAUGUUACUAAAUAAAAGAUUUUUACCAAUUCUUCUUAAGAAAAAACAUAAUAUUUUUGAAAACAAUAUAAGAAAAAAGAUGUUUUUGUUUCCAUCAUGUUUGAGUAUAAUAUUUACAUUUCCAACACUGUUUAUAUCUAAAUGAAUGUAUUCAUUUUGCCCCUUAAAGAACCAUCGCAAAUUCUUGAAUAUAUCAUAUCUAUAUGGUUCCUAGUUUUGAUCAUUACAACAAUAAUAAAAGGAUGGUGAGAAUGGAGAAGUCAAUCUACUAUAAAUAUAUAAAUAACAAAAUUUUGAUAAAAGAAGGAAACGAUUUAAAAUUGAUAACUUCCUCUUCUAACACAUACACAUAUUAAAUAAAUGUUAUAUAUUUAUUAAUCAAUGCAAAAUUUUAAUUUUCAUAUUGAAAGACUAAAUUUACUAAAUUUGAUUAUCCAUUUUACACAUUUAAUAAAAAUUUAAGUUAGAAUAUGUAAGAAUAUCUAAUUGUUAGCGUUAAUAACUGUAGAAAUUACCAUUUAAUGUUGAAAAUGGAUAUUUUGACAAAAAAAAAUACAGGUAUAAUGCUAAAAAAACCCUUGAAUUAUUUACGAAAAUUUAAAAAAAAUUAUUCUUUUAUUAUGUUCAACCAUGCCCUUAUGCUUUUAUUUAAUUUAUAUUAAAUAAGCCUUUAUAACUAAUAGUUGAUUAAUUGUUAUUAAUCAAAAUAUCUCUCGUCAUUUUAUACUCACGUGGUGUUGAUGUGGCGUUGAUGUGUGGAGUAAAGAAUGAGAUAUGAUUAUGUCAUCAUACCACAUCAACAAGCUUUAAAAUAUCUUAAACAAUAAUUACAAGAAUAAACUGAGAAUGCAGAAUGACAUUAAAAAUACAUAAUUUCUUCUACAAAUUAUUUGGAAAGACGAAGAGCAGAGGUUAAGUUGACCAGUCAAUAAUUAAUUCCUUGGCUCCUUGUUAGGUACUACUCCUAUCUUGAGAGGACGUUGGUUAAAUAUGGGGAGAAAGGGACUGUCAAAAAAAAAUUAUCGGGAGAAAGGGAAGAUUAAUAUAUAAUUAUUCAUAAACAGUUGUUUUUAUACUAGAGCUAGAAUAUUUCCUUAUAUUGGAGGUUUAUUAUAAAAUAAAUCAGGGCUAGUACAACUAAUCUAUUUAAACUUAACGGCCAUUUUUUCUUUUGAUGGGAAAAAUAAAAACAAAGAGAAUUUCACAAACAUCUCAUAUAAGAUUAAUAAAUGUCAUAUAUUUGUAUUAAAUAAAUGUCAGGUAUCAAUGUAAAGUUUUAAUUUUGAUAUUCAAAGACUAAAUUUAGUACAUUUGAUUAUUUUCAUAUAUUCAGUUUACACAUUUAAUACAAAUUUAAAUUAGAUAAUUAGGUAAGAAUUUCUAAUUGUUAGCCUAAAUGAAUAUUGAAAUGACCACUUAAUGUUAAAAAUGGAUAUUUUCAUGCAAAAGCAUAUAUUUGAUAGCAUAACUCAAACAAAAGAAAAACUUUAUACUAUUAAAAUUUGCACUGAUUCCAUUUCGUUCUUUUCUAAUUGUUUCAUAAUGCUUGUAUUGUCUAUUAUUUCUAUUAAUUUUUUUUAACAAUUACUCCUAAUUUGAAUUUUCAGUACUUAUUACUAAUAUAAUAGUUAGUCAACAAUUUACAGUCAAAAUUUACCUUAUAUAAUUACUUAUUGCUUUACCUUACAAAUAUGAGAUGUUGGUACAUUUUUGUUAGAGACUAUAGUUGCUUAGGUUAUUUUAAUCCUUUUUUUCCCAUAUAUUUUGUCUACUAAUAUUUAGUUUUAUGGUUCCCUAGUCUCAAUUCCAUCAUCAAAAGUUUGAUUUCUUCUUUUUGUAUGCCUCUUUGAAUUAUUCAAUUCGAUCUUUAUAUAUAUUUUGACCUCUUUGAUUUAUUAUUAUUUGGUAAUUAUGUAUUUCGAAGUCCUUGCUGAAUUAUUCAAUUUCUUUAUUUUUUUAGUAAAUUGUUUUACUAUGCUCAUAUUUGUAAAUUUUCAUCAAAAUCAAUUACUCUUCCAACUAUCAAGAUCUUUAAGACAUUAUUGAUCAACAUGCAUAAUUCCAAUUUUUUUUUUUGGCAAUUUUUUAAUGUUCUUAUUUAGAUUCUAAAUUAAAAGAAUUAUUGUAAAUAACAUCAUCACCCUUGUACUGAACUGACUAAAUAUAGUUUUGAAUAAUAAUAAACAUCAUCUAGGCCAAAAAUAAUAAUAAAAUAUUAAACAUCAAUGACCAAAGAAAUAUUAAGCAUUUUGAAUAUUCGUAAAGAUUUUCAAUUGAGUCUCCUUGAUGAAUUAUUCAAUUUCUUUAUUUUUUAAGUAAAUUGUUUUACUUUAUUCGUAUUUGUAAAUUUUCAUUAAAAUCAUUUAUUCUUCUAAUUAUCAAGAUCUUUACGACGUUGUUCAUUGCAUGGGAAAAUUUUCAUUAAAAUCAUAUAUUUUAUGUUGUUAUCAAUAUUCCUAACUAAAAAGUAUAUAUUGUAAAUAAAAUCCUCAACCUCGCAUUGCACGGGCUAAAUCUAGUUUUCAAUAACAUCACCUAAAAUAAUAAUAAUAAUAAUAAACAUCAAACAACCAAGCAAAUAUUAAUCAUUUUGAAUAGUGUAAUCUAUCCAUACGUAAGGAAUAGUAUAUCUUUUCGAUAAUUAGAACAAGAAAGCUUGUGAAAACAACAAUAUAUCUCAAAAAAGACAUUUGAAAAAUACUUGCCAGAAUAAACAGAGAAUGACAUACAAAACACCUGGUUUCUUCUUCAAAUUAUUUGGAAAGAUGAAGCCCAAAGGUCAAUUAAAAUGAUCCACAAACCUCCCUGACUCUUUGUUCAGCACAAACUUCUUAGGCAGAAGAAACAAAUUGACAUAAAAUUAACAAGGAAAAUUAUUUUAAUAAAAAUGAAAAUUUUAUGUGCUAAAAUUUUCAGAAUCAUUCAUUUUCAGUUUUCACUAACUAUAAUUAAUUUUCACCUAAUUAAGUGAAAAAAAGCAUGACACAGACCAAUAAACAAAAUAAUUAUGUGGAAGGAAAGAUGAUGAAUCUGUGUUAUAAAUCUAAAAUAUGAACCCAUAUCUAUACUAAACAGUUUAAUUUACCUAGUCAAAUGAGGCAGAUGAGCUGAUACUUCUAUCCUCAAGGAUUCUUGCUUAAGUUUGCAAAAGUAGAUCUCCUUGCAAAAAAUUGUCAAGAAAAUAGCAACAAGCAGAUCUCCUUCCGAAAAUAUCCUCUAUGAAGGAAAAUGAAUAAUGAAGCACAUGAGUUAUUGAAAAGUGGGAAAGAUUAAUAUUUAUGUAAGAAACUGAAAUAAAUGCCCAACUUGUGUCUUAAUAUUGACAUGGAACUUAUAAUAAGAUGAAUUUAUGUUAUAAUUUAAGAUUCUGAUUAAUUAAUGUUAUCAAAGAUAAAACUAAAUCAUAAGUACACACAACUUAAUUCAGUAAGGCAGUGAAGUGAUAUUUCUAUCCUGAAAAGACCCUCAAUUAAUUGGAGAAACAAGUGCAGUCAAGAAAAAUAGCAGCAACAAAUAGAUUAUCUCCUUGCAAAAAAGAAAUCCCCAAUCCUAUGAGAGAAGAGAAUCAAUGGAUUAUGAAGAAAAAAAAUUAAAGUCGGCAGCACCCAAUCAAUUGACUCUUUGGUUGAUGCAUGAUUCUUUUUUAUCUAAAGAGUAGGCUUUAAAUCCCUCUUUCCCCAAUUAAAAAGAAAGAAUAAAAAUCAGAAAAUAUAAAGAAAAUGAAUUAUGAAAAACAUGAACUAUUGAAAAGUGGGCAAGAUGAAUAUUUGUACGGAUCUUAUGUUAAGAUGGGUUUGUGUUAUAAGGUAAGUUUCUGAUUAAUUAAUGUUACCAAAGAUGAAAGCAAAUAAUAAGCAUAGACAGUUUACCUGGGUCAGUGAGGCAGUGAAUUAAUUGAUACUUCUAUCCUCAAAAGGUCUUUAUUAAUUUUCGGAAACAAGCAUGUGGAAGAAAAAUAAACAGCAACAAGCAGAUGAUCUCCUUGCCAAAUUAAAAGAAAAUCCUAAACUUAAUCUUCCGUGAGAGGAAAAUUAAUGAAUUAUGAAGCAAAUAAGAGUUAAAAGUCAAUCCAAAGUCGUCGCACUAGUUGUGAAGUCACUUUCCUCGGAGCUGUUUCACAAUAAUGCAAAUGUGAAUAGAAGAAAAACUGGCAAAGUAGGACAGAAUUAUGGGGCCACUUAUCCUACUCUCCUUCAUUAUUUGAAAAGAUAAAUUGUUGAAGAAUAGCCCUCAAUUGGGGUAUUUCCAUUCCAUCAUCCGCUGUUUAAAUCAGAAAAAAAGAAGCAGCAAAGCAAAGCCAAGGUAAGAUGAUAGCAGCUAGGAAAAUCUCUUGUCCAAAUAUUAAUAUAUAUCUUUCGUGCCAAGAGAUAAUAAAUUAUGAGAAAAAAUAAUUAAUAGUCGUUGGGAAAGGUGAGUCAAUGCAGCAAGUCAUCGUUAAAAUUAAAUUAUGGGAAAAAAAAUAAUAGUAGGUGAGACAAUGCUGUAAGUCAUUGCUAACAUUGCUAACGUUUGCACCAAACUUUAAAUUAUGGGGAAAAAAUUAAUUAAUAGUCAAUGAGUCAAUGCUGCAAGUCGUUGCUAACAUUCCGAACGUUUGAACCAAACUUUAAAUUAUGGGGAAAAAAAUAAUUAAUAGUCAAUGAGUCAAUGCUAAAAUAUUGCUAACAUUUGUACAAAACUUUAAAUUAUGAGAAAAAAAUAAUUAAUAGAUAGUGAGUCAAUGCUAACAAUAUUGCUAACAUAUGUACAAAUCUUAUAUAAAUCUUAAUAAUUAUUAUAUGAAUCUUCUAUAAAGCCGAUUGACUUGAGAAAAGAUAAACAGGGAAAGUAAGGUUAUCCUCGAAUUUUUUCUUUUUAUUAACAUAUGACAAGUUCCCAGGCAAAAGCGAAAAUUCAAAUUAUUUCUAUAAUGAAGGGCUAAUUAACACCUUAUUAAUUGUUAAUUAAGUCUCCUUAAAACUACUCAUUCAGAUAAAUCAUAAUGUUUUUCCUUUUGAUAUAUAUAAAAAAGCUGUUCUAACUAUAUGAAUUUGUUCGAUCAUUGAUUUUCUCAAUCAAUCAGUUAGAGUUGAGCAGCAGAUAAUGUUUUAAGAAGUUGACGUGAAUAAAAUAUUGUGAGACAAUGAGCAGAGGGAAUGAGUAAACAAAUAUAUUACUCGACUCUAUAACAAAGAGUAGGAACUUCAAAUGUCAAUCUAUGAUUUAAUUAUCGGAUUAAUAUGUGCUACUAACACAAUCAAUGGUCCUGAAUAUCAAGAGUUGUUUGUUAUUAACACUACUCUGAAUUAGUAUUUGUAAUGUUUUUCCUUUAUUCUUAAUCAAUUCUAGAUAUGGAAAUUUGUUUGACCGUUGGCUUUCUGAAUCUAUCAGGAAUUGAAUAGACAAGGUGUUGUUAUAGGAAAGUUCAUGCAAUUGAAUACAUAAAGUGUGAAGUAAUGAGCAGCCAUUUUUAAUUAUUGAUUAAGUUGCUGCAGUUCUGAAACUCGUGAUUAUGAUGAGAUGUAAAUUUGAUGAAGUUAUUAUAACCCAAGAUUAAUUUAAUCAGCUAUCAAUGUCAAAGAACUUCACUUUCCUAGCUCAUAAACCGUGAACAGCCAUUUUUAAAUCUUGCUUGCAGUGUGUACAGAUCAUAUAUCUCAGAUGAUAGAGUUCGGCAGGAAAUCAAUCGAAUGAUUGGGCUAAAGCCAAGAUCUUCCAUGCUGAUAAGAAUAAAUGUAUCUGAUUGAGAGAAACUGAAUAUGCCUACUCCAUAAAAACAAUGAAUCAAAAUAUUAUUAUGCCUGUAAAUAUUUUUAUGGUACAUUAAAGGCAAAGAACUUGACAUGGGACAGGCAACAAGAUCGUCGAUAACAUCAUCAAUGAUUACAUUCGAGCCUUCUAUUAAGUUUAUGUAACAAAUACAAAUAAGUAAUGGCUUAUCAUGCAUUCUUAUUUUUGUUAUGAUAUGAGCAUUAAACGACUCUUCCUCAAUGAAACAUCUGAAAGAGUGUAGGAUAAAAGAAAUCAAAACAAUUUACAACUGAUGAAGUUUCAGUCCAGUCAUCUUGUUAAUGUCUCUGUGAGACAAAUAUACCGCAAGUAGGCACUUGCAGGGUGCUAUGCUCAAAUUGGGACUAAACUACCGGUAUCAAAGCCUAAGGUACAAAACAUACUGCUCAAUAGCAUAUAAUAAUAAUGACUUGGAGAUGAAAGAGUUAAGUAUACAGUUAAUCAAUUAUCGAGCAUCUAGUACUGACAGGGUCAUUUCAUUUGUCGAAGAAGAUACAUGAUUGUCUGAUGAAGAACCUUCUUCAUGAAGUGGUCUUUUCAGCAAUAGAAAACUACGUUGUAUGGGUGUGGCAAUUUAGUUUCACUUCCCAACAUCAGAAUCACAGAUGACAUACUUGGCCUAUCCUCAGGAUGCUGUUGUACACUUAAAAGACUAAUAUGGAUGCAUUGUAUCACUUCUAAUAGGUUGCAAGACUCUUCUAAGCAUUCUUCAACAAGUUCUGAAGGGUGCCUUAUUUCCAUAAUCUCCAUGCCUGCAACAAAUUGAAACCCUUUUAGGUUUUAUCAGACCAAGAUAAGCAACUAAAAUUUGAUUAUAAUCCCUGCUUAAAGAGCAGGGUUCAAAUCCCCCUUCCCCCAAGUCCAAAAAAAAAAAAUCGGCUGAAACUGACAUGCUCAACAAGGUUGGCGCUCUGAGUUGGAUGGUAAAGGCCUCUAUCUUUCUUCCCACUUAAUAUCUCCAGCAGUAAUAUACCAGAGCUAAAGACAAUUGAUUUUGCUGAAAAUAGUCCAUCAAUAGCAUAUUCUGGUGCCAUAUAACCACUGCAGAACAUCAUUUAAAGCAAUAAAUAUAUGAGGAUUUUUAGACAUUAUGAAAUAAAGUGACACUUACUAAGUUCCAGCCACUCUUUUAGCAUUCCCUUCAGUUUGGUCUCCUCCAAAAGUUCUAGCCGAGCCAAAAUCUGAAAAUUUUGGAUUCAUCUCACUAUCAAGCAGGACGUUACUACCUUUAAGAUCUCUAAAUAAUCCUCAAUCCUGAAUCUUGAUGAAGAUAGAGUAGUCCCCUAGCAUUGUCACAGAUAAUUCCCAAACUCUUGGACCAAUUCAGUCCUUUACUUCUUGUUUGAUCUGGCAAUUGGUAGGUAUUCUCUUCAUGUCAGUCCAAUAUCAUUUUUGAUCUUUGGAAGCAGCAAACUGCACCAUGUGUAAAAUGUAUGAAAUAUUUAUAAUAAGAGAAACAAUAAACCAAACCAAAUUGACAGGUUUUCAAUGAUUCAGACCACAAAUGAAUGAGUGAAGGCUUCUGUUAAGCAUGUACUCAUAAACCAGCAGUCUUUACUUUCUGUGAAUGCACCACCCAAGAAGCCUUACAAGAUUCUGAUGUUGAAGUUUGGCAAUCAAUUUUACUUCAUUUUUAAACUCUUUCAAUCUUGUCCAGAACUUUUUGAAAGCCUCUUCACAGCAAUUUCUUGUCCGUUUGCUAGUGUCCCCUGGAAAACUACACUUUAGAUUGAGCUUCAAUAAUAAAGAUAAAUUCUCUGUACUUAAGGUAACUUCAAUUAUAUGAUGCAACUUUUACCUUAUAAACAGUUCCAAAACCACCUUCCCUUACCUUGAUGUCCACAGAAAAGCUAUCAGCAGCACGAGCUAUGGUAUGAGGCUCAAAUAUUGGAAGCUCCAUGUCUUCAUCUUGGCCUUGAUUUUCUUGAUCAUUUUCCUUAUUGUCUUUUGUUUCUCUGAAACAGUAGCCAAAAUAGGCUUGGCAAUCACCAUAAAAUAUGAUAGAUUCUUAUGCAUUUUGAUUGAGCUAGAUAAUUGGACAAAAAGCUGAUGUGGUUUUUGAGAUCACACAAGACCAUGCAUCUCCAGUCAUUUGCUUCAUUAAAAACUCUAUUUUCACACUGAUAAGCAUUGAAGAAACUGCAUGUUGAUUUGCUAGCAUCACUAUUAACAAAGUAAUUUUUAACAAAGGAACAAAAUGAGCAUUUUUGUGAAGGAUAUAUCAAAGUUACCUUUCAACUUUCUGGGGCUUCUGUAAAUGUAAUAACUGACAAUAAACAGCCCCGAAAGCACAGGACAGUAGUGUUCUAAUCACUGCAGCAAGCUCCAUCCUAAGCUUAUCUUUCAAUUCUGUAUGACGGAAUUUGAUAAAGAAAAGCAUAUAUGAACAAAAAAAAGUAAUGAAAACAAGAGAAAAUGUACACUCAUACCUGAUUUUGAAGCAGACAUUCUAACAUAUAGAUCCUGCCCUACUGAUUGAAACUGUUUGUAAUCAAUCAAAUUAUCAAACCAAAAGGCGCAACCACAACCUCUUCCUCCAUUAUCUGAACUAGUGUAUGCUUGGCUUUCUGCAUUCCAUGUGAAGUCUUGUAUCAUCAGUUUGGUUGAGAACAAGUCCUGUGAUCAAUGAUUUCUAUUUGAGACAUUUUGUAUGGUUGAAAUAUCAAAUAGAAAUACCAGGCUGAUAGAUCAUGCAUUCUUUUAUAGGAUGAUGUGAUUGACUGACUCUUCAUCAAUGAACUAUACACAAAGUGCAGUAGAAAACAAGUAACAAACAUUUAGAUUUAUGAUAACUUGUCAAUAUGGGGGGCUAAACUUCUUUGAUAAAAAUUCGAAGUUUAUUUCAUGAUGUCCUGAGCUUAGCUAGGCAUCUUUCUAAACGCUCAAAAAGCGUUUUAUAGCUAAUGGACAGAUUAGUGAUCUGAAGAGGUAGUAAUCUUGUUUUUAAUCUUUAGCCAGGGCCUUUUGGCUAGCUGCUCACUCACUUUCAAAGAAGUGCUUCUAAACAUUUAUGAGAAAUAGGGGAUGCUCUGUUUGUAAUUGCAGGGUAAAGACAAAUUUUUAAUUAGUGGUUUGUCAUGACCAGUAAUAUCUCUCCAAUACCUAUGUUGAGAAGAGAGAAAAAUAAAAUGGCUAAGAGCAAUGUUAUACAUGAAAUGGGUUUACAUAGACAUUGAGUUUCAAAGGAGCCGUAGCUGGUACUGUUAUAAAGUUUGGACUGAGAAGGAGAAAGUUUUAUGCAUCAUUUUGUGGAUGAAUGAGGUAAGAAGAUUUAGUACAUAAAAAGGUAUUCGAUUGGGGAUUUUACCGCCAUACAUAAAAUUAAAAACCUUAUUUUCUUUUUUAUAAAAAGAAGAGCAAUUAUAUACCAAAUGAGAAAGAGAUAAAUGAAUAAAAAUAAAAACAGAAUGUUUGCAAUUUUAACAAGAAGCAAGAGGGCACUGUACCAUUGAGGGCCGUGGAGCCACAUUUAAUCGAAUAGCUCUUCUCCAUCUCAUUCUAAUUAUAUGUAACAAAGGGAGAAAGGACAUCCUUAGCAUCAGGCUGAUUCCAUUUCUUCUCCUUUGUGAUUUUCUUCCGAUGCUAUUAUUUCCUCCAUUUCUUCACAACUGCUAACACUAAUUUCCUCUAAGUUUUGGAGGCUCUUCAACAGCUCAACUGGAAACAACUUCUUAAUCUUCGAACAUCUACACAUAUCUAAUAUUUUAAGAGAAGAGAAGAUGGUAGGUGGUGUUGGAGCAUCAGAGUAAUUCUUUAGCAAAUGAGAAAGAGAUGAAAAUAAACUCACAAUUAAUGUUUGCAGUUCUUAAUAAGAAGCAAGAGCCUUACAGCCACAAUUAAUCAAACACCAAUUCUCCAUCUCAUUCUACCAAUAUUGAACAAAGGGAGAAAGGACCUCCUUAGCAUCAGGCUGAUCCCAUUCCACUGAUUCCCACCAUUCUCUCGGGCUUACUGUCAUUUUUGGUAGAGAAGGAGGAGGAGAUGGUUUCCCAUUUUCAACAAGGGGAAGAGACAAAGGGAUCCUCUUAACUUCUGGACAUUCAACUAUAUGAAGAAAUUGGAGAGAAUCUGCAGGAAUCAUAAGUCCACCGCUGCAAAUGCUUUUCAAUUUUGGUAAUUCUUCCAAGACUAAUGAUUUUAAUUUGGGAAGAAUAAAUGUUGUUCCUUCUCCUUUGUGAUUUUCUUCUGAUGCUAUUAUUUCCUCCAUUUCAUCACAAUAUCUAACAUCAAUAUUCUCUAAGUUUGGGAGGCCUUGCAACUGCUCAACUGGAAACAACUUCUUCACCCUCGAACAAAAACUGAUAUCUAAUUUUUUAAGAGAAGAGAAGAUGGCAGGUGGUGUUGGAGAAUGAGAGGUAGAUUCAAUUUCAACUGCUACUCCUACUCUCACAACUUCACGCAAGUUUUUCAACAAAAAUAGGCGUAACUCCUCAAUGUUGUCAAGUGCGUCACAAGACGAUAAUGACAAGUCAACCACACACUCCAUCCCUUUACACUGCCAAAUUCGACAUUCCUUCCAGUCAGUCGCCUUACGAAACAAAGGAAUGUUGUUUAAACAUUUGAAAUCAUCAUACUUGUCAAUAGUUAAAGUUUGAAGGUCAUGUGGGACCACCCUAGGGACCAGUCUGAUGAGUUCUAUCUUUCAGGGAAUUCAGGCUUAAACAUCAACUUUCAGGGAAUUAAGGCUUGAAUCCUUCAAAAAGUGGGAGCUGAGUACCAUCACAAUUCCCUUUUGAACCACAAAGUCCAUAUCUGUCAAAAUAGUCUCUUGGAGCAAAUGAGAAAAGCAUCCAAGCUUGCUUUCUGCAUUUCAUGUGUAGUCCUGUGAUCAAUGAUUUCUAUUUGAGACACUUAUGAUGGUUGACAUAAAAAAUAGAAAUACCAAGUGGGUAGAUCAUGCGCUGUUUUCAUAGGAUAAUGUGAUUGAUUGACUUUUGAUGAAUGAAGUAUACACAAAGUGCAGCAGAAAACAAAUUAUAAACAUUCUCUUCAUUGGACAAACAUAACUUCAAUGACUUACUUGUAUUAAAUGAUUUCCAAUUCAUCAACCAUUUGAGACUAGUGUGGAUGUGCAGGAUAGUCCUAAGAAUUCAUCACCAAGUUCAACAGGGGUGCCUUCCUUCCUCCCAUAAUCUCCAAGCCUGCAGCAAAUUGAAAACCUUUUAGUCAUUUUGCUAUAUCUUUCAACAUUUUAAUUCAUAAUAAUCAAAGUAUUUUUGAAACAUGCGAGUGAAAAUGAAAAUAAAGGAAACGGGUGGGAAGGUGUAAUAGGAGGGGAUGUAGGAAAUGUGAGAUAGCAAUUGGCGGAGAAAUGCAGAUUGAAGGGUGUUGAGUUGGAGAAUUUAUUUUUAUAUUAAAAAUAAAAAGUUAAAGACUUAGUUUUAUUUUGAUAUUAAAAAAGAGAAAUUAUUUAACAAAUGAGAAAUUAAGAGAUAAAAAGAGGACGUGGAUGAAAAUAAACUCACAGUGUUUGCAGUUCUUAAUAAGAAGCAGGAGCCUUACAGCCACAUUUAAUCAAACACCUCUUCUCCAUCUCAUUCUACCACUGAGAAUAUCGAAGAAAGGGAGAAAGGACAUCCUUAGCAUCAGGCUGAUCCCAUUCCACUGAUUCCCACCAUUCUCUCGACCAUACUGUGAUUUCUUUUAGAGAAGGAGGAAGAGAUGGUUUCCCAUUUUCAACAAGGGGAAGAGACAAAGGGAUCCUCUUUACUUCUGGACAUUUGAUUAUAUAAAGAUAUUGGAGAGAAUCUGUAGGAAUCAUAAGUCCACCACUGCAAAUGCUUUUCAAUUUUGGUAACGUAGCCAACUUUAAUGAUUUUAAUUUGGGAAGAAUAAAUGUUGUUCCUUCUCCUUUGUGAUUUUCUUCUAAUGCUAUUAUUUCCUCCAUUUCAUCACAAUAUCUAACAUCAAUAUUCUCUAAGUUUGGGAGGCCUUGCAACUGCUCAACUGGAAACAACUUCUUCACCCUCGAACAAAAACUCAUACGGAAUCGUUUAAGAGAAGAGAAGAUGGCAGGUGGUGUUGGAGCAUGAGAGGUAGAUUCAAUUUCAACCGCUACUCCUACUCUCACAACUUCACGCAAGUUUUCCAUCAAAAAUAGGCCUAACUCCUCAAUGUUGUCAAGUGCGUCACAAGACGAUGAUGACAACUCAACCACACACUCCAUCCCUUCACACUCCCCAAUUCGACAUUCCUUAAAGUCAGUCGCCUUACGAAACAAAGGAAUGUUGUUUAAACAUUUGAAAUCAUCAUCCUUGUUAAUAGUUAAAGUUUGAAGGUCAUGUGGGACCACCCUAUCAUCACACCUCUCUAUCUCCAAAUUUCUAAAUUCAACCUUUUUCUUAAUUUCUUUGAAAUCUGGGAAUCCCCGAUAUAAAUACCCUUAAGUGGUCCCACUUGAAAAAAGAAAGAUGUAGGCCAUUUACCUUGCGUACACUCUGCGUAUUUAUUAAACUCUUGCACGUUGCGAAAUGAACAUGAAACCCACUCGAGCUUCCUCAAUUGGCCUACUUCUUCUCCCUUUACAAACGUAUCCUCUAGCAUUAAGCAUUGGAGAUGACAAAUCCUCCGUAAUAUUCCUACUGGUAGCUCUUUUAAAGCCCAUGACCUCAUACGAAGAUCUCUCAAGUUUUCUAACAUCUCUAUGCCAUGAGGAACCUCUCCAAUUCCUGUACCCGAAAGGUCCAACUUUCUUAGUGAUGUGAGCUCUACUAAGGAAGGCACAUAUUUUAACUGGUUACAACAAAAGAGUAUCAAUGCAUUGAGAGUUUUCAAGUUAGAGNUCCUGUAGCAUUAAGCAUUGGAGAUGACAAAUCCUCCGUAAUAUUCCUACUGGUAGCUCUUUUAAAGCCCAUGACCUCAUACGAAGAUCUCUCAAGUUUUCUAACAUCUCUAUGCCAUGAGGAACCUCUCCAAUUCCUGUACCCGAAAGGUCCAACUUUCUUAGUGAUGUGAGCUCUACUAAGGAAGGCACAUAUUUUAACUGGUUACAACAAAAGAGUAUCAAUGCAUUGAGAGUUUUCAAGUUUGAGAUCGACUUCGGCAGAUACUUUAAGAAAAUAUUAUGUGAAAGAUUUAAAACUUUUAACUCAGGCAUGUGCUUAAAAAAAGAUUCUGAAAUCCUUUGUAAGCCACAAUUUUGCAGUUUCAAAGUUGAUAAAUGAGGCCAUCUAG
rnacentral:lncRNA from 1 species